UUGCUCCUUCAUUCCUUCCCUAAUCCCUAGGUGUGUGUGGCCGAUUCUUCCAUUGCUUCAGCUGCUGCAGCUACCUAGCAACCACAAAGCACAAUAAUGGCCACCGCCCUCAGCAGCCUCCGCGCGCCGGCUUUCUCCGUCCGCGCCGCCCCGGCGCCGGCGCCGGCCACCGUCGCGCUGCCGGCCAAGGUCGCCCGCGGCGCCAGGCUGCGCGCGCAGGCCACCUACAACGUCAAGCUCAUCACCCCCGACGGCGAGGUGGAGCUCCAGGUGCCCGACGACGUCUACAUCCUCGACCAGGCCGAGGAGGAUGGGAUCGACCUGCCCUACUCGUGCCGCGCCGGCUCCUGCUCCUCCUGCGCCGGCAAGGUCGUCUCAGGCUCCGUCGACCAGUCCGACCAGAGCUUCCUCGACGACGGCCAGGUCGCCGCCGGGUGGGUGCUCACCUGCCACGCCUACCCCACCUCCGACGUCGUCAUCGAGACGCACAAGGAGGAGGAGCUCAUCUAAGAAGCUCGAUCACUACCUGCUACGCGCUUGCUAUAUCUAGUAUCUGUCUUGCUCUUGCAAGAGAUCGAGUUUGACGACGCCGGACAAUUCCCUUUCUUGUAUCAUGCAUGUCAGUGUCACCAUGAGACCUUGCAAUUAAGCAUCGGCAUCAGCAGCUUCUCCAUCGUUUGUUACUCUGCUUAUUGCUGGUCUCUGUAUCAUUCAUUUUUACUGCGGAUGCAUGAUAGGCUUCGCUCAAGUAAUUAAUAACGUUUUUCCUCUUUAUUUUUGUACAACCAAUACAUAUAUAUACUAUAUAUAUAUACAUAUAUAUACUAUAUAUAUGUGUGUGUGUGUGUGUGUACGUAUGUACCUGACUAAACGUGCUACGGAAAUGCAGCUUGAGUAGUCGUCUGAAUCUGAUGCUAUUUGUUAUGCCAUGCUAUAAAAUGAUUCAAAAGAAAGCAUGUGUGGACUUGGCUAGCUAGUUUAUCGUGACCACCAAGAUCAACGGGGAUAUAUGUGUGUGACAGAGUUACUCAAAUUUAAUUUAUUUUUGAAAUGUUUGUUCAAAAUUUUUUGUUGCUCUUGGAUAGAAACCUAAGGCCCAAACCAACAAAUUAUAACAUGUAUACAAAACUUCCUCAACAUGUGCCAACCCCCAUCCUCCCACACACCACACAAUCGCAAGCACCCCUCGCACCCUCUCUCCGCCUCUUGCCUUAGCCUACCUCAUCUCAAAGCUUGAGAGUUCCUUUACCCCUACCAGGUGCAUAGUCCCCCUCCAUGUCACUAUUCGUCGAACCCUACCUCAUAUCAAAGCUUGUGAGUUCCUUUGCCCCUACCAUGUGCAUAGUCCCCCUUCAUGUCACUAUUCGUCGAACCCUAUUCAAAAUGGAUUAAUUUGACAAUACUUCUCGUAUCUCAAUCUCCUGGAAGUGAAGCAAGAUUCAAUUGACAUACAACACGGUGAAUUUCCUUUGGAAUAUAGUGUUUUGGAGGUAGUCCCCUGGUCUUUAAAGAAAGCUCAAUUAGGGCUGCAACCUAGCCUAAGCUAGUAGCGACUGCAGACAGCACGCUGGAAGGUGGGACAAUGAGGGAUACCGUUAGGCUGGUUGGGAGGAGAUGCCCAACGGGAGGUGCUAGUCAUGGGGAAAUGUUGUGAGAACUGAGAAGUGCUGGUUAUGGGAGAAUGUCAUGAGAACUGAGAAGUUACAAGGAAGAUAAAAUGCAGAUUGAGAGGAGAUAGAAAAGAAAGCAAUCACUGGAUCCAAAUAUGAUGGCUGAGGUUGUCAAAUGAGAGGACUAGCUCAUUUGAGAUGCGACACUAUCCCCAUCCUCCCCCACACACACACACCAACACAAGCACCCUUUAGUAUCACGCUCACAACCUUCCUCCACCCCUUGUCUUACCAGGCCGAGGAUAAUUGGAUCUUCCUAGGGGAUUUCAAUUUCUACAUAUCUCUGGAUGACAUGAACAAAUUGGGUGGUAAUUUUCUGGAUACCUUGCUAUUUAAUGACGUCAUUGGGCAGCUGGGCCUCAUUGAAUUACCAAUUAAGUGAAGGACUUUUACCAGGAGCAACAUGCAGCAAGAUCCUUUACUUGAGCAACUUGAUUAGUUUUUCACCUCUGUUAACUGGACAUCCUCAUAUCCCAACACCAUGGUUUUACCACUUGCUAAGCCCAUCUCAGAUUAUGUACCACUUGCUUAUAAGCAAUUGUGUUCAUUGGUGUGGACUCAAUAACAGAUGCUGGGCCACUAACAAGUUAUCACCUACUGCUAAAGAGUUGAGCUCGAUGUUGUUAUCAUUUUAUCGGAGUGAAUUGAGACUUGAAAGUCCAUGUUCGAUUAUAUGACGUCUAGUAUUUACUUGCUUUUAAGGACGCAAACAAGAAAAACAGGAUAUGCAAUAGAAAAAUUAGAGUUAGUCUCACCCUAGGGUUCGAGUUGCCGAUCCCUGGCAACAGCACCGGAAAAGCUUGUUGGCGGCAGUUAGCGCAUCAAUUUGUGAAUCACAAGCGCACGGAUUAUCGUAACUUUUUCCUUAGAGUAUUCCAUCUAAAGUUUAUCAAUCCGUAGUUCAGUAGCGAACUGACUAGAGUUUUCCACCUAAUCUAACGGAGCAGGCACUAGUUUUUAUACUGAUACUAUAUCGAUGGUUAGCUUUCCAUGCCAUAGUUUUUGCAGCAGGCUCGCUAGUUUUUGCUGACCACCCACCCACCCAUCACUCAUCACCAGGGAGAGAAGAAAAGAAGAGAAAGAAAAGAAAAGAGAAAAGAGAUCCAUGGUUGGCAUGGAAAGCUAACCAGCGAACUGACUAAUUUUUCAUACAUGUAAAAUUACGUGUAAUUUUAGAUCUCUGGCCAGAUACACAAAAAUUGACGAGAACCACAUGAUACCGCCAACUGCUAAGGACCGAAAGAAGCAUAUGCCCUGGAUCGAGGCCGUGGCCUCCACAUGCCACGCUCAACCAACCAAUGGGCAGUGACUGGCGCACACAGUCUAUUUUCUACUCCUUCCGUUCAUGUUUGUAUAUAAGGCGUAUGCGCAUAUCAAAUGUAAAAGUUUGCUAUCUUUGACCAAUAAUUUAACCAAUAUUUUUUUAUUUUUAUGGUAUAAAUUUGAAAUGGUUGGAUUUGCAAUCAAAUGUAUUCUCCAAUGAUUAUAAGUUUAUAAUCAUAAACAAUAUAAUAUAAGAUAAAUUAAUGGUCAAAGUGUAAUUUGGGAGUACGUGCCAUGCCAUAUCACGCCUUAUAAAAAUAAACGGAGGGAGUACGUGAGAAUACAAUGAAUACUACUUUCUCUGUCACUAUUUUGAGUAAUCACUAUAAAAAAUAACCUCUAUUGUCGGUUCCCAACCCCCCUCUAGUACCGAUUCUGCAACUGGUAGCAAUCCUGUACUCGAGGGGGAUCCUCUAGUACCGAUUGAGAUAACUUGUACUAGAGGGUGUUAAAAAAUUGAAAAAGAAGAACCCCCCCUCCCCCGCCGGUCCCGGCCUCCCUCCGCCCGCCGCCAGCCCCCUCCGCCUCCACCUCCUCCUCCCCCUCCUCUGCUGCACUCUCCCAUCACCGCCUCCUCUCCGCUCCCUGCUCCACCCCACUGCUCCCGCUGCCGCGCCCCUCCUGCGUCGUCGCAGCCGCCCCGGCCCGACGCCGCCACUCCUCAUCGUCGGUGAGGGGCGAGCGGAGGAGAGGCAGAUCUGGGAGAGGGAGUGUGAGGGAGGAGAGUAGAGGAUAGGAAGAGGAGAGGGAGUAUGAGAGAAGAGAAGGAGAAGUGUACUGGAUGAGGAGAUAAUGCAGACGCGGUGUGAGUGGGGGAGGGCCGGCGGCAGACGGGGCUUUAGUAUUGGGUGGGGUUUCCAACCACUAAAAGGGUACUUUAGUACCAGUUGGGAACCCUACUCGGUACAAAAGGACCUCUGGCAAAUUUUAACAUUAGUACCGGAUUCAAAUGUGAUCAGUGGGGAGAAGUUAUAUUUUUACUAGUGAAUUUCAUGGUCGGAGAAUUCUCGAUGACGUUUGGAGUCUAGCGUGUGGCCCUGCUGUAUUUCGACUUUCGAGUAGUUGAUUUCCCCCACGGAUGUCGUCCUGGUCCCGCCAAGAAGAUAAGCCUCCCGCCCUCCCCUUCACGCUACACCCACCCCGACCCUUCAUUUCACCUCAUCUCGCUUUUAGCUACCUAUAAGCUAUCAUCAUUAGCUGCUGCUCGCCUCUGCUAAUAGCUCCAACUCCUCCAGCUCCAAGCUCUCCCUUCACUACACACGCCGCAAGUCCGCAAUGGCCACCGUGCUCAGCAGCCUCCGCGCGCCUGCCUGCUUCGCCCUCCGCGCGGCCCCGGCGCCGGCGCCGUCCACCGUCCCGCUGCCGGCCAAGGCUCCCCGCGGAGCCAGGCUGCGCGCGCAGGCGACCUACAACGUCAAGCUCAUCACUCCCGACGGCGAGGUGGAGCUCCAGGUGCCCGACGACGUCUACAUCCUCGACCACGCCGAGGAGGAAGGGAUCGAGCUGCCCUACUCGUGCCGCGCCGGCUCCUGCUCCUCCUGCGCCGGCAAGCUCGUCUCCGGCAGCAUCGACCAGUCCGACCAGAGCUUCCUCGACGACGACCAGGUCGCCGCCGGGUGGGUGCUCACCUGCGCCGCCUACCCCACCUCCGACGUCGUCAUCGAGACCCACAAGGAGGAGGAACUCAUCGUCUAAUGUAUAUGCCUACGUGCUCCUAAUGCUAUGCUUGCUUAAUACAUCGUGCGUGCUAGUGCAAUUACUCAAUAAGCGUUGUAGACUUCAACCAUGGAGAGACGUCCUACUCUAUGUACUAUGAUGCAUUUCGUUUUUCUUGCAUGCAAUACAGUAGCUAUUUGGUUUGCAAGUGUUGAGCUAAUGUAUGAUGGUUUAUCUCGCUUAGCAUUUUGUCCAAGAAAUUAAUACUCCACGUGAGAUUUGCUACGUGGUUAUCAAGAAGUCUGAACCUUAAUGAAUCGCUCGUUUAUGUACGAUGAAUAACUAAUGGCAUGGUUAAAUGGAUGAUAAGCAGGAUUAUCUUUCCUGAUCAUUGUGCUAAGAUGAAAUAGGACUAUAUCAAAAGGAGAAUGGAGGGAUUAAAUCGAAUACAUAAACAAGGCACCUACAUGCCCGAGUGGUAAGACACUGAGAUUGUGGCUGCUUAGAUCUUGAGUUCAUUGCCAUCAAUUAUCCACAAAUCCCAUUCUUUUUAUUCUUGAGUCCAUUUCUCUCAUUUAGUCUUUUUAUCCAAGUAAUAAAUCAUCAUAUACAUACGGCCCGGACACCUAUACGCUCGAGUGGUAAGAAACUCAUAUUGUGGCUGCUGAGACCUUAAGUACAUUGACAUCAACUAUCCAACAAUUUCCAUUUCUCGUUGAAGAAGUUACUACCUCCGUUCGAGAACACUUUGACAUUGUUGUUUUCUUCUAAAGGUCUCUGUACCGAGCACCCUCCAGUUUCCUCGCUCUCCCAUGUAGGGACAACUGUUGUCCAGUAAUUAACUUCAUAGCUUGUUUGGUGGUCUUGUAUGCAAACUCCCAAACAAGGGUAUUGUGUACUUAGAAGCCCACAUACGAAUGUUACGGCCCAUGGGCUCUCGUUGGACUUUGUUUAACGUGGCUUGUUGAUUUUUUUUUAAAAAAAGGGAACGGUGCUCCUUUUCGAGUUUGUGUUUCUUCGUAAGAGCAACAUUGUCAUCAUCCUUGGAUAGUUGGAUACUUGGAUUGGAUAUCAUUUAACUUGGAUGGACGGCAAUCUGGUAGCUAGCUAGGGAUUAGAAAGAAAACGAAAAUCCGGAUCCUCUACACAGCUCUGGAAAGUAGCUGCCUUAGCUGCACGUAUAAAGCAUGCAAGAGAGGAAGCAUGGCAGGUGCACAGCGCAACACGAGGGCAUGCAGUGCGGUGGCGAGCCACGUCGCCGCCGCAAGGACAGUGAGGUGUCCUCGACGCGAGCCUUCGCCGCUCCAACUUUAAAUACGCGAUCCAAGAACGUCGUAACCAGUCGUCGUCAACACUCAACAUCACCGAUCAGACUUGCUGUAACCAUAUCCCAUUACUACUAGCUUCCGUGCAGUGCUGCGUGUCGGUGAUCCGAUCGAUUAUCGACGACGAUGGCGCAGAGGGAGCGUGAUAUGCUGAUGAAGCACGGGACGGCGCGGACCAAGGUGGCCGGCGACGACGAGAUGCUGCGGACCGGCUUCCACAACGGCACCCCGCUGGAGGCCGGCAAGAUCGCCGACUCUCAGCCCGUCGACCUCUUCGCCCCCGCCCCCUCGCAGCAGCAGCAGCAGCAGCAGGAAGACGACGAUGGCCGUGGGAGCAGCAGGGUCAUCGCGGAGUCGGAGCCCGUGGACCUGGCCACGAGCGCCCGGGGCGUGGCGGAGGCCGCCAACAACGGCAACAACCCUGCUCCGCCGCCGUCGCAGGGGCGGCAGGGGAUGGCCGCCGGUGGACGUCGCCUCGGACGCCAGGCCUAAGUUAUUGGUCAAUAGCUUAGCAUGCAGUAUGACUGUUAGUAGUAGCUACUAGCAUCUUUCCAUCUCCUGUAUUAUGAAGAAAAUAAGGCCGCCGGCGGCUGUUGUGUCGUCGUCUCUGCUGCAUGCGUUUUCUUGUCACCAACACUCUGUUUUCUCUUAUUUAAAAUAAACACUUUUGUGUUGAGGUGUCUCAAAUUUUUAUUACUCCCUUUGUGUCCUAGCAUGUGUGGUAGUUUGGAUUUGCUUUGUUUCAUAGAAAUGUAUUACUUUUUCUCUACCUGUGCUCAUAUCUGUAUCGAAUCUACCCAAGCAAUGAGGCAAUGUUGGGUCAGGGAUCCCGCUUCAAUUUGGCACGCAAGGGAUAAAAAAGGGGAGACAAAAUGAUAAGGGCACCCGCAAUGGGCCACACCCUGCGCUGCGGCGCUGUCGCCGGCCUCUCCACCGUCGUCAACCCCGGAUCGGCGACACCCCCAUCCUGGGCGCCGGCACCUACGCCAACGCGCUCUGCGCCGUGUCGGCCACGGGCAUCGGCGAGGAGAUCAUCCGACAGAACAUGGCGCGCGAGGUCGCCGCCGUCAUGGAGCACCGCGGCCUGCCGCUGAGGGACGCCGUCGACCGCGUCGUCGGCGCCGCGCCGCCCGAUACCGCCGGCAUGGUGGCCGUGUCGGCCCAGGGGGAGGUGUGCGUGAGGUACAACAUCAUGGGCAUGUUCCGGGCGUGCGUCACCGAGGACGGCCACACCGAGCUCGCCGUCUGGACGGAGGACAUCCCUAUCCAUGCUGAUCCUGAUGCUGGUGCAGCAGCAGCAGCAGAAGAGCAGAUCAUGGAGACGACACUGUCAGCAGCGGCCUUGCGCCGUAAAACAAUUUCGUCGUCUCUCUCGUGCAGUCGUGCUGCUAUAUGUACUUUCGAUAAUCCAAUAAAACAAUUCCGGCAUUUGCAUCGAUCAAAGGAUGCGAAUGUGAUGUGAUGCCAAGAACCUGUUUGAUGUUUGUUUCGGUGCGUGUUUGGGAAAGAAACACCUGAUUUGGUUUUCAGGCCUUGUAAUCGAAGGAUUUUUACCGUGAAGAGAAAUGCAGCUCAUCCGAACACUUUAGAUAAUAAAAUAAACACGAUUAGUAUGUCAUUAAAAACACUUUUCUAGUAAUACCGAUCUAUGUUGUGAAGUUUCAAAGUGUGCUUCUGACUUCAUACUUCCUUAUGAUGCUGACAACGUAAUAACUGAACACCUAAUUAUAAUUAAUUAUUCAAGUAAUUCGUUUUAAGGUUUUAUAGAUGCAUUAUUUAUUAUUUAGAUACAUAGUAAAAGUUACGUAUAGUAAAAAAAGUUACAUGAAUAAUAAUUUGGGACGGAAGUUACACGAAUAAUAACUUGGGAGUAAAAGUUACGUAUAGUAAAAGAAGUUACACGAAUAAUAAUUUGGGAUGGAAGUUACACGAAUAAUAAUUUGGGACGGAGGAAGCAGAACUCUGUCAAACUAAACUAAGGGACGGAGUAGUCUCUUGCGCAUGUAACGUGUAUAUUUUUCGUAAAAAUGAAAAUACACAUAAAAAGACUAAUAGGCUAAUUUGUGAAGAGGCCCAUCAGAGAGCCCAGCACACCGAUUUACUACUUGCUGCUGGCUGUAAAGUGAGUGCCCGUGAAUCCUAACAGGUUUUCGGUGUCUGGGAUUUGUACUGCCGUACGAUCACCUUCGUCUCUGCUCUUCUCGAGCUCACUUGCUCGGUUCAAGCAGGUGAGCGGGAGCGGCUCGGCAACUGCUGGUCGUAGUCGAGGUCGGCGGUGGUGGGUGGCGGCCGGCGAAGUUAGAGUUAAGGUUUGAUUUUUUUUUUCGGAGGCUUUGAUGGUCACCGGCCUUAGGGAGAGGUCGGCGCGCGGCGGCGGCUGCAGUGGUUUGGCCGGCGGCAGAGAUGAGAUGGCGCGGGAGUUCCGCCGGUCGGGAGGGAACGGUACAUUGGGCUGUGUUCGGUGGCAGGAAAAUUACGAAGGACGAGGUGAAAGGUCAGCGGUGGAUGAUAGCCGGAGGCACGACGGCGCAGCAGUCACCAGCCUGGUAUGGUGGAGAAGGAGGCGUCGGUUACGGGGAAGAAGACGACCAAGCCGGCGCUAUCUGGCUUCCACCUCCCUCCCAAUCACUAUUGGAGCUCGGAUCCGACGGUCCCAUCCCUUCGCUGCCGCCGGCGACCACUUCGCCUUUCCGUGCUCUCUCCUCCGGUCCGAUCCGAUCCGACCACAAGGUAUGUAGUCGACGUGGCGCCUUUGACUCGAGCGCGCCCGGGCUUGGCCCCACGGUAGUCUAUCCUUUGGUCUCGACGUUGACCGUCCGGCUCGUGCGCGGUGGGCCCGCGUGGGCAGGGGUGAGGUGUCGCGCGUCCAGAAGUUUCGCAGCCAACCCGUGGCUCUCGCCGGGAGGACACGUGGCGGCGACGGCGGCAGAUUCCGCCGUCUGUCCUGUCAGGACGCCUGCUGCUGCUGCUAAAUUAUUGCCCUGUUGUUCGCUUUCAUUGCUCCAUUGCUUAGUUAAGUUCUCGCAGCCGGAUCGGACCAGCUGGCGGGGGUGGAGGAGGCGGCGGUGGGUGGCCGGGUGGUGCCGCCGGCGCUGGCCCGAGAGCCCAGGUGACGGUGAUGGCUAGCGCCGGCGUCAACAUGCCCGGCGGCGACGGGAACCCAGGUGCUGCAUCGUCGUCCUCCACCACGGAAUGCCGGCUGCGCAGGCGCCGCCGCCUCGCGCCCCCGCGCGCCACCGUGGCCGCCGGGGGGCCCAGCGAGGAGAAGCGCGUCCGGCCGUCGUCGGCGUCGGAGGAGGAGGAAGGGCAGGAAGGAGAGGCAGACGCGGUGCUAAAGGAGGAGGAAGAGGGGGGAACGCAGCAGCAGCAGCUGCCGCUCUCGGCGGCUGGGCCGCAGCCUCCGCCGUCCCCCGGCGCAGCGGCGCGGGCGUGGCCGGUGGCGUUCGGGUGGCUGUCGGUGGCGGGGCGGUCGCGGGAGAUGGAGGACGCCGUGUCGCUCCGCCCGGGGUUCUGCACCUGGAUCGAUGGCUCGCCCAUGCACUUCUUUGGGGUCUUCGACGGACACGGCGGAUCCCAUGUACGUACGCCGCCUCGCCGCCGGCGGAACUUGUCUCUCGUUCUUAUCUAAUAAGUAAUUAACCUCAGCUCGUCUACUAAUCACUCACCGUUUUGUUUGUUAACAAGAUAAGAAAGAUUUCAUGCAUGCUCUCGAUCGGUUACUCAGGAUCUAAAAGCUUUACUUUAAUUUUUAUCUAGCCUACUGUAAGUAAGUCGUCUGCAGCUUUUGGUUUUCACUGCUAGUACGGUUGGUGCAAGAAAGAAAGAAGACGACACCAUGAAUGCCAAAUGCAAUGCGUGGCAGCAAGUUAGUCGAAUGACAGGGUGCUGUACGUGUCCAACCAACAACACAUUGGCCACAUUCCAGCACCUUCCGAAUUCGACCAAAGUACUGGCCAAUCCAUACACGGAUACACCUAAGUAGGAGUACGCGUGUCAUAUUCCUCAAAGUAGCUAGUCAUCUGACGACAACGCAUGCAUAUGCAGGUGUCAACGCUGUGCCGGGACCGGAUGCACGAGUUCCUGGCCGAGGAGCUCGCCGCCGAGGGAGCGGCCUUACAAAAGCAGCAGCAGCAGCAGCAGGCGACGGAGGGGGAAGCAGGGACGACGACGAGUUCCCAACCGCAGGUAGUAGAAGACGAGAAGGAGGAGGAGGAGGAGCGGGCGUGGCGCGCGGCCCUGGACCGGACGUUCCGUCGCGUGGACGCGCUGGCGUCGCUGGCGUGCGCGUGCGGGCGCAUCGUGCGGCCGCCGUGCCGGUGCCUGCUGUCGUGCAACUCCGACAUCGUGGGGUCCACGGCGGUGGUGGCCGUCCUGGUCCGCGGCUGCGUCGUCGUGGCCAACUGCGGCGACUCCCGCGCCGUGCUCUGCCGGGGGCCCGCCGGAGCGCCGCCAGUCCCGCUCUCACGCGACCACAAGGUACGUACGUACGCGCGACACGCAUCCCCAGGCCAGUCUCUGGUCGCGGCGUUGACCCGUGCCCGAUGCACGGAUAUCAAAGCGCGCGGGGCCGGGCCAUGCAGCGGCAGUCCCUCAUUCCGGUGGCGCGGGGGACACGUGUCGGUAUCGGCGGGGGCACGUGGGGCGACGGCGGGGGAGACCGUGGUGGACGGAGGCGCCACUGCCGGCGAGUUGCUGGCUCGCUGCGGUGCUGCUCUCUUUUCUCUUCUCUUCUUUUCUUCUCUCCCUGGUGAUGAGUGAUGGGUGGGUGGGUGGUCAGCAAAAAAUAGCGAGCCUGCUGCAAAAACUAGUGGCAUGGUGGGUGCGCCAACAUUCGUGCUGAUUGUAAUUAGCUAGGUAACUUUUCGAAAAAUUAGCUAGCUAGGGUUCUCUUAAUUGCUUCUAUCACACCUCCUAACUAUGUACUCUCUGCUACUGUUCUUAUUAUACUAAGCAGCAGUGCUAAUCGUCUGUCAGAGGGUUUUGGUCAUUCUAAAGCUGACUAGCAGCAGUGCUAAUAUUCUAGUGCUAAUAUAAUUGGUCUGGCAGCCGGACCGGCCGGACGAGCUGGCGCGGAUCGAGGCGGCGGGCGGCCGGGUGAUCUACAUCAACGGCCAUCGCGUGCGUGGAAUCCUCGCCAUGUCGCGCGCGCUAGGUAUGGUGUGGUAUGGUAUAUGUGUUAGUUCCGAUCCUUGGGCAUCAAUGUUCAUCCAUCCAAUCGGAAACUAGUAGCAUAUAACUAUGAUCAAGAGCAGCGAUGUGUUAACAACUGCCGGGUGUUCUGGAAUCCAAACAUAAUCAAGCAUUCAACUCUCUACUAAAGCUGUUCCUUGAGAUUCCUGUGAUGCUAACCCAACCUAGAAAAAGAAGUGGGUGGACCUUUGUAAAGUGUAAACAAGCCACAAGUGGGGAUAGAGGUUCAAUAAUACAAUCCAUUAUGAUGACAGUGAUGCUAGCUGCAGCAUCUUUACCCUGAUGGAUUUGCUACUAAAAUGGGAGGCUGUUGGUGCAGGAGACAGGAUGCUACGUCCUGAAGUGAUCGCUGAGCCUGAGAUCACCGUAACGGACCGGACGCCGCAGGACCAAUGCCUGAUCCUGGCGAGCGACGGGAUGUGGGACGUCAUCUCCAACGAGAUCGCCUGCUCCGUGGCGCGGCAAUGCCUGGAAGACGGGAACCCUUCUCCCGCCGACGACGAGCCGGCGGCAGGCGGCGGCGAGGGUGCCGCCGCCGGGCCGGAGCAGGAGGCACGGUGCUCCAGGGCGGCGUCACUCCUCGUCAGGCUCGCGCUAGGCAGGACCACCUGGGAUAACGUCAGCGUCGUCGUCAUCGAUCUCAAGCAGAGGGAGUGAGUAGCAGGCUGCCUCUGAAUCUCUGAUGGUGUUGUCGAUCUGAUCAUGUCAUUCAGCGUAACCUGGAUGCAUUGACAUCGUAGCAGCGACUCUGCUUGGUAGCUAGUGAACUGAUCUUGAGAGGAGAGGCAGUGCAGUGGUCUAGACUAAACUUGAGACGAUUUUCUUUGAUUGGAAUAGUUGGUUUUUUUUAAGUUGCAUUCGGAAAGAAAGAAAGUGCGUCCACAAAGAAAAGAAAGAAAAGGGGAGAGAGAGAGAGAGAGAGAGAGAGAGAGAGAGAGAGAGAGAGAGAGAGAGCAAUUGUACAGGGUAUUAUGCAACAUUUAUGUACAUUAUUGUCAUCUACAUGUUCGGUUGGACGUUUGCAGUCUGGCUGCCGUUUAUGUGCCAGUAAUGCUCUGCCAUCAGCUGCUGCUGUUCUCUGAUGUUGCGAGUCUGGUGUCAGCAUGUCUUCAAGCCAACCGUAAUACAAGUUACCUAACAGCAAAAAACACAGCCUUUUACUCAUCCUAGCAGUGCCAUUCUUCGUUGGAUCACAUCCUCUAGUGUUGUGUUGUGGCCAAAACUUCUGCAUCAAUCUCAUCUGAUUGACUGUCUUGGAAGUUCUUCCUGGCAUUCUCUUCUUCUGGGGCCUACCCGGUCUUGCAGUGAACAUAGGAGGAUCAACAUCCGGGAAUGGAGUUUCAACCCAAUGUGUCUUAUCUGGGACUUGCAUGAUUCUGGAACCUGGAAAUGGAGUAUUCACCACUGAGCACUUUAGAAUCAACAAUGGACCAUUCACCUGGCUGUACUAAAUGCUGUCCUGUCCACCCAACCAGGCCACGACCAAUCACGACCAUGUUUCUUUCAGGAACGUGCAGCAUUCACAGUUUAGCCUGUACAAACAAUUGACACCGAUGGAGCCUACUGAAAGCAUCAGCUCUAUGGAGCCCAAUCAAGAUGGGCAUGAUGUUCACAAGUAACCUACUACUGAAAGGGAGAGAGCACGGAUCAAGAAUUAUUCAUAUUUCAAAGCCCUUACGAACUAAUUCAAGAAUUAUUUUUUUUAAAGGAGAUCUUACAGGCUUAAACCUCAAGAGUCAAGAGACAAACUCCAUCUAAGGCAGUAAGGUUCCUACUAAGCUGCAUCAAUACAAGCUGCUAAACACUCAUGAAACCGGACAGGAGCUGACAUUGCUUCUUCAAGAUGUAGCAACAAACAAAACAACUCUUGAGCACUAAAAACCUAUGAUUUAACUACAUUACAUGCCUCAAAGUAGGCCAAGUCAAAACUACUCCCACUCCGUGCACUCGGCCACCAUUGCUUGAUUCUCUCUUCUUACAAGCAGUUGUGCGUAACAGAUUUUCAAUCAUUAUGGUGCCCCAUCGAUGAGCUCGCAUUAACGUGUCAGUUGGGUGCCAGGUAAGGUUUCUCACAGGAUCUCACGAUGCCACCAUUGCUGUUAAAGUGGUGAAUUUUGCAGCAGAAAUCAGCACCCUGGUAGCGACUGAGAUGACGUGUCAGAGUCAGGACAAUGCUGUUGGUAGAGCUGACAGAAUGACUGAGUUGAUGCCGCAGCUGAUAAACUUGUCUCCGAGUCGCCACCAUGCUGAAGCUGGGUCUGUUGUGGUGAUGGCGGCACCAUGGUGAACAGGCUCGGGCCUGACAGUGUGCAGUGCCGCAGGUAAGGGUGCUGCUGCCCUGAAGAUCCAGGGUAAUACCUCGGAGAUCCAUGGGAAAAGUGUGAUGAACCUAUAUACCGACUGGGAGAUCCGUAGCCAGAACAGGAGACGUGUGGUGAAGUAUACCUGAUGUUGAUUGGUGGAGACAAAUGGCCCCCAUACAAUGAGUGCGCGGAUGCAAGGUGCGAUGUGCGAGACCAUGGGGAUGACAUAUUUGCAAGGUCUACAUUGCUUCCGCUUCUGUAGAUGGGAGGUGAGUUUGCACAAGACCUAUGGGGGUUAGGGGUGCGGGGGAUACCGGAACUUGAAAUGGAGUAAUUACGGGAUAUGGAUUGUGAUGAAGGAUGCCGGCUGAUUGGCCUUGGGGGAGAGGCUGCCACUGUUGACCGGAAUGAAGCUAAAGCGGUUGAUUCAGCAGGUAAGCGAAUAGCGGAAGAAAGCAAGGGGGUAGACUCUGAUACAGGUGGGUUUGAUGUUCCAGCAUUUGCGUCCCGCUUGCAUACAGGGCAGAAUGUUCGCCACGAGGUAAGCCACAGGUCCACACAAGCUGCAUGGAACUCUGCAAAUUAAAACAACCAAGCCUCAUACGAGUUAAGAAUAAAGCUUGAGAUGGAACAAGGGUCAAGAAAGAUGCAGCAACAAGUAUUGCAAGGUUUCAGAUGCAAGCACCACUGAUCAUUUUUUAUAUAAGCUUGAGAUAGAACUUUGUAUCUAAAAAUUCCAUAUACUAUGCACAUCAUGGAAUCAGGGAGCACAUAUUCAUAUAUGAGAAGGUGCCAAAAUGCAUAUGAAAUUGUAUUCAAUCUAGCUAACAACUCAAGCCUAUAUGGACUGUAGGGAACUAUUUUGAUGGAAGAUUUUUUCCAUACACACACACACACACCAUUCUUUUACUAACGUUCUAGUGGCACUACUCUACAUUCACAUCUGUAAGACAUAGUAAAGAAUAGUAAACAAUGCAGACAGAUUUCAUAUAUAAAUGUGAGAGGUACAUACUGUGUCGACAAGGUAGCACUCUUAGUUUUUCUCCCACAGUGUAGUCCUCCAAGCAAAUGGCACAUGUUGAUGAUGUACAAUUGUCUUCUUGAACUUUUGUGAAGAUGAGGCUUGGCAUUGCUUUAACUAAUUGACUGCUCAUUCCAUGGAACUCUCGAGCUUGGGGGAUUCGAGCCCUGUCUCGUCUUAUCUGGUGUCUCCUCACAAAGAAACAAGUAGCUAGGACAGCAGACAUAGCAAGCAGUGAUAUGAAUGAAAUUGCCAUGAUUGACCAAGCUGAGUUCUCGUAUGUUGGUAUUAUCCACAACUCUGCUUCAGUUUGACCUGAGUAUUUCUUCAACACCUCUCCUGAGGCCUUAGAGAUGAAUACCGCAUAUAUGUGGACUCCGGAUGAGCUUCCAGCCACUGCAACACCUCUUAGUCAAUUGAUAUUGAAAAUAUACUAAGUACAAUGAUAUGCAGCUCUCCUGCGUGUUUGGAAAAAAAAGAUAUUGAAAAUAUAUGCACUCACCGAGUAAUGUGAAUGGUAAAACUUUACAAUUGAUUUUGAUUAAUUAAGCAUAGGGCAAGGUUGCAUCAGUUUUCUACCUUUUAGAUUCAAUGAAGCUAAUCUAAUAAUUUAGAGCACUUUAAUGACUUACAGCAUUAUGGAAUAGAAAUACUCAAAUAACUAUAGAGAAACACCCCUUAUGUGCACUAAUAAUGAAUAAAUGUAAAUGAAGAUAAGCUGGAAAAAAUAAUGUCUGGGGCAUUACUUGAAACAAGAACGCCGUUGUCUUCAUUAUCAUAUACUAUAGCAGCCUUGAAUCCAGCAUUCUGUGCAUUUCUAACUUUGUCGUCAAAUUGGCAACCGCCUCUUAUAACCAAAGCAAAUGCUGAGGCAGAUCCUUUAACUGCUUUUGUUGUCAACGGACUGCAUGCAUCCAGAGGUUCAGCAGCAUAAAGCACACCAUUUGCACCUGAAUUUUUCACCGCUGGAGCUGCAAUAAGACCGAAAGGUCAAUAAGGCUUGCAUCAACCAGAUAGUUUGGUUAAGGCACCAAAGUGGCAUUGCAUAUUAUUAGUCACAACGAUACAAGGAUGGUGCUAGUGUAUGAGAAGAAACUAGAAGAGCCAUCUAACUACCAGGGCCAAAGAAAACAAGCAAUGAACCCAUUUAUUCACGAACUAAUAAAAAACAUAGCAAUUUAGCAUUAAAGAAAAACAAAAUCUAACACCAACUACAUAAAGAAUACAUUGUAAUUUGACGAAGUGGCCCUAAAUGGACAAGCACAAAGCUUCGCUUAUGUUGCCAUUGGAAUACGAGAUGCUAAUUGAUCUGUUCUGAAGAUACAGGGAUAUAGGAUAAUAGUAUGUAGCACUCACUAAAGGUUGCCUCGACGUCAUCGAAUGACAGGGUUGUGUUGUUCGCCAUGAGUACAACAUUGCAAGCUCCCAGCUGAACCAUGAGGCAAAUCACCAGAAAGAAACAAAGGGGGAAUGAUCUCCAUCCUCUUGGACAUGUCAUCUUGACAGAACUCAGUUCCUGUGUUACAGCUAUAGAACAGAGGAGUCCGCACAGAUGCGGCAUCGCAGAGCUGCAAAGCUGUGACCGUGGAAGGCGCUAGCGCCAAGCACCACUGCACCAGUCACCUAAACCACCUGCAAUCAUAUCAUAUUACUACGAGUAAGCAAACAAAUUUGAAAAGCAGGAGUGAUGUUAAUUUCACAGCAAUGCAAACAGUGUCCAUAGUAGUAUCACCCAGAUAGAACACAUGAUGAUAGAUUGGAGAAACAACCUAUAGAAAAACAGAACCACAGGUCAAAAAGACUCCUUUGGUUUCGGAAAACAGGAGAGGUUCCUUUUCCACAGAAAUGGGUCUAAAAUUUACCCGAAAUCCAGUGGCGUCUCCGAAUUGAACUAGGAUAUCCAUCACACAGCUCAGGGAGCACCACCAACUAAACACAAAAGGGGCAUAAGAGAUGAGACUUUUGAGCACGGAAUCGCCCAUAACACCUCUGAAAGCGGCACGGCUCCUGCCCUAAAUUCCGCGGAAGAAUCCCACGUGAAAUCGGGUAACGGCGCCAUAUCCACGAAAUUAGUGCCGUAAAAGCCGAAACUUUUCAGAUUGCAACGCAUCGAGGAGGAGAAAAGUGCGCACCUUUCGACGGGAUUUGAUUUGAUUUGAUUCCACCGGCACGGCAGCGGCAGCGGCAGCGGCAGCAGGAGUGAGACGAGGAAGAGGGAGAGGAGGCGUCGGCGCAAGAGGAGAAGAGGGACUAGGAGGAAUCAGCUGGUGGUGGAGGGGGAUCGAGAGGUGGCUGCGUGGGGAUGGAGACGUCGGCUGCCAUGAGACGAGAAAUCUGCAGCCAAUUUGGAGUGGCGGAGCAGGUGGGGGGGAGGACAGUAUGGAAUUCCGCCCGCAGAAACCAGGGCUGCAGGAGGCCGGAACGAAUGAGAAAGAAAUCAAUCAGAAAUGGAAUGGAAUUGGGACAGGUUUUGCCUCUAUUGAUUGAAUGAUUUUUUUACGUGAUUUGAUUUCAAUUUGUUUAUUCCGCUGUUGCGUCAUCCAUCCAUACCCCUCCCUCAAUCCCUGGCCACAUAUGCCGACCUCCUCUUCUAACCUUUUUUUUUUCUAAAUAAAGGUCUCUUGUGUUUAUCUCCUUUUCUUUUCUCAGAGCAAGAAAGAAAACUCCAGGCCAAUGAAUGAAUUGAAUCACCAUUUGCUUUCUUGGUGGCAAAGAAGAAAAUGUUUGGGAGCUUGACGUUAUCUCAUUUAUUGCCUGACCUUAUCAUGUCGACCGCAUGAGACCAUCCAUCCCCUCCUGCUUCGAUUCGGAGCUCCAAACGAUUCUCGAAAGCUGAUGAGUUGCACAUCCACGUGUACAAAAUCAAGUGAUAACAGACCCUUUUAGUUUGUUAGAGAUAAUUUGGCUGGGCAGUGGCAAUCUCAUGUCAUGGAUAUUCGUAUAUGCCGGGGAACAUAUGGUGGUUCCUAACCCCCAAUGAUUCCGAUGCUAAUGCGGAGGUAGGCAUCUUUAUGGGAUCAGAAACAGAUUUUAGCAAUCCAAUCGAAAAUCACUGUCAUCAGCGGUUAAUACUCCCAUCAGACAUUCAUACAUUAGGAAGUGAGUCGGGAGGUGUAGUUGUGCACUUUAAUCAUCCAGAUUUGAGCUCGAAUUUAGAUGCCCAUUUCUUCUUCUUAAUAAAAAGAAUCAUAUAACUUCUCCUAGGUGAUUUUUUAAACAUUCCUAUAGUGGAGAAGACCCCAAUCUCCUACUUUCGGCCUGAAUGUUAUACAUCAGCUUAGGACGUUGGGAUUUUAAGUGCCGCUCAUCUAAUGAAAUUCUUUUAUUUAUCGAGCCCUCGAUUCUUUUCUUGUUUCUUCCAUCUUUUAUUUCUCCUAUACGUCCGGAGUAAUUUCUUUUUUGUUUGGAAACAUUUUGUGCAGCCCAGCCGUUGAGCUCCUGCAGGCUAUGGGCCUACCCGCAACAAGCAGGCUGAAGCCUGCGGUGGAGCGGACCGCACACUUAUGGGUCAUUAAUGGACCAAUGGGCCCAACAGUACGUAUGGACCUUUCGGCUGGCCCAUGUAGACAAAAGAAAAAGGAAACUGGGAAGAGCUAUACGUUGCUCGGGUGAUUCGCAAGCUCCCGUCACCUGAAUUUUAUACCGUCGGAUCUUACAGCUGUGGUGCUUUCCCGUCACAUAACUGCUGCUGCCUCCUGCAGCUGCGCUGCACAGCAGCGCUCCGACCAGACCUUGCACGGCUGCAUGCUACGAGCAUCGAGCAUGCCGCAUGCCUGCGCGGCUGUGCAGUGCGUGCGUUUCUAUAUACAUUAGAAUUUUUUUACACUAUAUUUGUAAGUAAUUUACAGUGAUAUUGUUACUGUAUUUUCAAUUUGUAUAUUGUGUAAUUUUAAAUCUGUGUAAAUUGCAUGUUGUUUAUUGAAAUCUGAUUGGUAUUUUUUGCAUUUGAGGGGUUCCUCGCAGUUAAAAAUAAUUUGUUAUCUGACUGACUAUAGUAAAAAUUUGUUUUUAAGUUUAUAAUUUUGGCUUUUGCAUUUUAUUUUUUCUUCUCUUUUCUGCGUCAGUUUAUUUUCUAUAUGCUCAGCACAGUUUGUUUUCUAAUUAGGAUUUUAGGGUCAUAAUUUUCAGGUGACAAAUCUACUUGUAGCACCUGAAUUUUUUUCUCUUCAAAAUAGGGUGUUAUCCAACAUCAAAUCACCAAGGUGAUUGUGACCGUAGUAACACCAGGGUGAUGGGUAGACAGUCCCUAAUGAAAAGACAGGAUGCAUGACGCUCCUUCGAUCCUUCUCCUAUGUUAAGCUGGCUGACGAUUCUCUUAUGUCGUCACCACGAAGUUUAGUCAUUGGUCAGUAGCGUCGGGUAAGGGGCGGCAUCGGGAUCCUUGUGGACGGAGGAGGCCCUGCGGCGGUCUGAGGUUGGCCGCUCGCGGGCACGGAGGCAACCACUGCACGAACUGUGGUCGGCAACGCGUCGCUCCAGCUCAGUUGUGGCCGGGUCCGGCCCUACCUGAUCGGAUUUCGGCGGCGCGGCGACGCAGGGUCGUCCUCUUCGACAGCAACGCGAUUCUGUGCGUUUGGUGGCGCCGUGGUGGCGCGGUCGAGGAUGGCUUGCGCAGGGGCUCGCAGCGGUGCCAUGGUGGUGCGGCUUGCACUGGCCUGCGUGCGCGGGGGCACGUUAGCUAUGCCAUGGUGGUGUGGCUACUAGCGUUGCUGGGCCAUCUCGCUUGCGGCGGAUGAGGAGGGCGCCUGCAGCGCAGCGGGCCGGCGCAACAGCAGCUGAGGAGGCCGCACGUGGCUCGGCGAUGGAGGUGUGGCUGCGCAUGGCGAGCUGGCGGCUGCUGUGGUAGUGGAUGCGUGUUGAGCGUGGAGUCGUGGCGGCGAGGGUGAUGGUUUAGGGUGGAUGCGGUGGCUGCUGCGCGCGCGGUUGGUGGUUGUCGAUUUUUGCCUUGGCAACAUUGCAGUGUUUCAUCAAAUCAAAUGCCGAGUGCAUUCAUAGUAGUCGAUCUAUCUUCUUUGAGGCUUCCUCCCCUUGAAGGGUGUUGGAUGGCGGUAGGUGAAGGUUCGGAUGUGCUACGAAGGGUGCUACCAAUCUACCAUUAGCUUGAAGGGAGAUCGGUGUGUCCAAUGAUAUUGUGGUCUGCGUGCUCCCCUCACUCUUAGUCCCUUUUCUGUUGUGGUUGUCCCUCAUUCCUUCAGGGCUUCCUCCUCCUGUUGGAUGUUGAGGGUGGCAACAGAGCGGCGUAGCUACAAAGGGUGGUACGGUAGCACUAUGAUCUCAAUAGAGCUGGUAAGCAUGUUGUUUGGUUGUAAUGCCCCCACGUGAAUGGUGGCUUGCUCUUUAAGCUUUGUAAGCGUUAGCCUUUGUCCAUGUAUCUUCUUCUUUAUAAUUCUGGCGUCUAUGCCGCCUUGUACCAUUUCGACUGGGAGGUGCCGGGCGGGAAGGGAAGUUUGGGGUCACGGUGCACCGGAAGGAGAAGCUUGUGCUCAUCCCAAAACGCAAACUUGAAUUGAUGUAACGAAAAAUAAUAAUUGAAUCGAAAAGCAGAGAAGCAAUGAACCUGGCCAAGCAUUAUAUUGCUCCAAUAAUCAUGAAGAGAUCAAUAAUUGACGAUACAUGUAGUAGUCGUGACGAGCAAUCAGUGUAUGAUCGGCUUAACUGCCGUUGGUGACGGGGUAUCCGAUGCCGUGUCGCCUGGUUGGGAAGGCGACGAAGAGCAGGCUGCAGAGGACGCCGACGCCGAGCGGCAGGAUGUCGAGCACCUCCUCCGUCUCCCUUGCCGGCGCCGGGCAGAAGCACCUGACGACGUUCUUGUCCCUCGCCGCGACGACCCCGAAGACGGCGGCGGAGAGCGCGGCGUGCACGAAGUCGACGAAGGCGAGCCUGUACCUGGCGGUGUCGGCGGCCGGCGGCGGCGCGCCGGGCGGGUAGUCGAUGAGCCAGAGCCCCCUGGGCGUGGCGACGCCGUAGUAGACGCGGCCGUCGGGGCCCUUGAGGGAGUCGGUGAAGGAGGCGAGGACGCAAGAGAGGGCGAGGACUGCGAGGAGGCCCCGGGUGAGGAGCGCCGUGGUGGCGUCGCAGGCGCCAUGGUUGGUGAAGGUCGGCGACAGCAGGUUGAAGGCCAGCAGCGUCCCCGUCGGCAGCAGGUUCGCGAGGUUCGCCGUCGACGUCAGCGCCUGCGACAACGGCGAACGUGGAGGCGGCGGCGGCGGCGGCGGCGAGGGUGCUGCUUCUGGUUCUUGCUUGGGGAGGAGGAGGUCUUGCUGGUCGUCUUGGAGGAGCUGUGGCUGCUGAGCGGCGGCGGAGACCGCAGUGGCUGGCCUCUGCCUGACCGAGGAGGAGGAAGAAGAUGCCAUGAUCGAUCGAAUGCUGUGUGGUAUUGAAGUGAAAUCGAUAUUUAUUCUCUUGGUGCUUGGGCAUGUAGCUUGUAUUUGUAAGGAAGCGAUCCAUGGAUGACGACGACCGGCCGGGAUGCGGUUGUGGAAUGCGUCAAGGAACAAGCGAGCAUGGAUGAGAUGGCUGCUAUUCCCGUUCUGGUCUGGUGGUUGGUUACUCGGUUUGGCUCAUGGCACCGACCCGACCCAACCCCCAAUUCCUUCACCCAUCUUGCAUUGCUGCUGUUGCUUCCAGCAACCGUUUCCAUAGUCCAUCGUGACCAGGCUACAGCUUGUGUGUUCCAUGCCUGAUGCCUCGUCGUUCAUUGCUACUGCUUUCACGGUACGGGAACCAACCCAAAAUCUCACCUAACACGCUUUCCUGAUAAAUUCCUGGUCCUAAAAAAUACACCUGAUCAAAAUGGAACCCUCUUUCUUGCUUCCUUCGAUUAUUCUUUUCCUGUUCUUGUCAUGUAUGUAUAUCCUCGACCAAUAUAUGCAAUGAACGGACGACGAACAAACGAAUUAAUCUAAAAGUCGACAUGUAAAGAAAAGCAGUUCCAUGAUAAGACGAGUGCUCAAGAAUUAUUUCUUUAGUGCUGAUGAUCUGCUUCCUUUGUACAACAAGGAGCAGCUUCGUCAACAUACAUCAUUAUUAGAGAAAUGAACUUUCGUCCUCAGCCUCAAUACCGGUUGCAUUUUGAUCUGGUACUAAUGUGAGCAUAUGUACCGGGUAUAAUCCCUGAUGAGCCCCCCUUGACCCCCUUUAGUACCGGGUGAAGGUUCCACCCGGUACUAAAGCCAUCCGCCAGCCAUCCUCCGCGCGGUACCCGCUCCCAUGCAUCCUAUCUUACCUAUCUCUCUCUCCCCCCCUCUUAGCAAAGCGCAACUGUAGCUCUCUCUCGCUCCUCUCCUUUCUCUCCUCUCUCAGCGCAGCGCCGGCGAGCGGCAGGAGCGGUGGGGUGGAGGUGGGCGGGCAGAGGGGCGGAGGGCGGCAGGAGGGUGGUAGGGUCGGGCGGUGGGAGGAGUUGGGCGAGGGGGGGGGGACGGGGGUCCAGGCAAGAAUUUUAUUUUUCAACCGGUAUUAAAGGUUCUCCCUUUAGCACCGAUCUACCAGUACCCGUUGGAAACCAAUACUAACGGCAUUUUCAUAGUAGUGCAUGGUCAAAGGUUUUAAAAAACAAAAAACAAAAGGCCAUUCGUCUAUAAUUGGGCUGCCUCUCUAUCUCUCCUCCAAAACGGGCACUCUCUUUUCUUUCUACUACUCUUCCCAUAUUAUAAUGGAUUGGGCUGUCUCUCUCCUCAAAACGUGCUUACGGGCCUAGGAAAACGAAAGUGAUCCACGAGGCCUGCCCCCCACAUAUCAUCUCUCGGCCCACUAGGUCCAACUUGAAUAAACUGUCUGUACGACAUCAUUACACCAAAUAUGAUCAAGACAAACAACUUUAGAGAAGCGUCAAGAUAUAACUUCCCACAAGUACUAGUAGCUAUAUAAUUAAUAAGUAUAGUUAGGGAGGUUACCCAAUUAACACCCGUACGUACAUGCUACCCAGACAUUACAAAGUUUAUGUAUAAGCUUUGAUAAUAUGCUUGCAAUAAUGUAAAAGAUACAAAUUAUUUGUUAGCGGCUCAAAAGAAAUUAUUUGACGUCUAAUGAUUUACUUAUUUUUUUUUAAGCUGAUUUGCUUCCUUCACAGAACACAGAAGGCCAGUGGACGGUAUCUUCGUCAACACGGUCAAAGUAGCCAUCACUGUUUUUUUAUGACGAAAAUAAAGAAAGUCUCUCAGUUCGUCUAUAAUUGGGCUGGCUCCAUCCUCAAAACGGCCUAAUGGGCCUUAGGAAUACAAUAGAAAUCCACUGGGCCUGCCUGUCACACUCGCUGAACCAUUGGUGAAUGAAUAAAACAGCGAGCUUCAGAGUUUUUUUUUUAGAAAAAGCUCUCAUCUUUGUGGUCCAUAUCUCUCGGCCCACUGGGUCCAACCUGAAUAAACAAACAAUCUGUACACGUCAUGGAUCCAAGUAUCUCCCGUUCAUCCCCCUAAAAAAAAAGUAUCUCCCGUUCAUUUGCAAAUUACCAGUUGCUAAUCUUCACUUAUAGACGAUGGUCAGUUGCAAUAGGAUCAUAUGAAUCAUCAUAAAUUGCCUCAUGGUUUGCAUGAAUUUAGUCAUGUUCAUCUCCGUGAAUUAGCAGUGACACACGUUUUAUGCGAUGAACAUGAGCCUUAUGCUUCCAAUAGGUACUAGCAUCAGGGACUGUUCGGUUCGGCCAGUUUGAUCCGGAAUGCAGCUCAAUCUGGGCGGAUUGGAAUGGCCCGGAAUGAAGUCAGGCUUGGUUUGAAUUCGCUGUUCGGUUAGAUCUAACCCGAAAUGGAAACAUGCCCGAAAUCAUUCCCCACCUCCUCCCCUCCGGAACGGAGCCAGACCACUCACUCGACUCGCCGCUCCCCCACACCUCCACGAUUCCCGGUGCCUCCGCGCUCGAUGGCCACAACCCCGCCGCCGCGCCUCCACCCGCGGCCCUACUGCGUCACCACCCGCGCUUCCCGGCUCCUCCGCGCCCCAAUGGCUGCUAGCUUGCUAUCGCGACCCUGGCGCCGCCGCCGCCGCGCUCCACGGCGCCUCCACCCACGCCCUGACUGCGCCGCCGCCCACGACUCCUGGCGCCUCCGCACCCCAUGGCCGCCGGCUUGCCGCUCGUGCCCCCCAGUGCCGCAGCCGAACCGACGCCGCCGGCCUGCCACACGCGCCCCCAGCCGCGGCGGGGCCCUAGCUGCGCGCCCCUCCACCGCACUUGCUGGCUGGCCACGCUUGCCGACGUGCCGUGCGCCGGCAUCGGUGUCGGAGAAGAAGCCAUGACUAUUUGGGCGUCGGAAGAAGCCGUGCGCUGGCAUGCCGCGGCCCCCACCAUCGGGCUGUGGGGCCCCGGGCGCCAAGCGACCGAUGCGGGACUUCUUCGCCAACUGGCUGGCCACCCUCCGCUCGCCGCUCCUUCCGCUGCUCCGCCACGCGCUCUCCUCCUCGUCCAGCUCCUGGGACGACCCGCUCUCCUUCGCCACCACGGCCGUCAAGGCACACUUCCAGGUGCACUGGUCCGCGCUCGACGCCGCCACGCGCUAGGAGCUCACCUUGCCUCCAUCGAUCCAUCCCUCCGUGGAUCUAUCCUGCCCAGAGGCGGAGUCAGUGGAGCCUGGUGGCCUCCCCUUGGAAUGCGCAUGUUCCACCAAUAGCUAGGAUUUGGUGGUGGUGGGGAUUGGGGAGGGGAGGAUGCACCACCCCGGUGGCGUGCGUGGAGGAGACGAAACAAGGGGCAUGCGCAGAGGAGACGGAGCUGACGGUGUGGAGGAGACGAAGCUGGGGGUAGGCGUCGAGGAGACAAGCCAGUGGCGCGCAUGGAGGAGAUGGAGCCGGGGGCUAGCGCGGAGGUGCUAGGGGCAGGCACUGAGGAGACGAAUCUAGCAGCGCAUGUGGAUCGGAGGAGACGGAGCCGACGUGCCUUGGUCGAGUGGAGCGGAGCGAGACUGAUGACCUGUUUGUUUUGGAUGGAUUGGCGGGAUUAAAUCCUAGCUGGAUUGAGUGACACGGGUGGAUUCACUCAAACCGGACCUGGAAGUAAUCCUGGCCGGAAUCCAAUCCGACUUAAACGAACGAGGCCUCAAUGGUAUCGUGCGUUUGCAGAUGAAAGGAAGGGAAAGUACCUGAACUUAGAUUUGUAUAGGUAGCAGUUACGGAUUGGAGGUAGAAGUAAUAAUUUGAGACGGAGGGAGUAAAUGUACAUGUAGAUGUAUAGAAUUGUUCAUAAUGCGUGCUCACGAGUCAAGCAUUUCACAUGGAACCUGGGCAUCCGGUGAUUACUUGACUCAGCUGGAUUUUAGUCUGUUCACUUGGUUAUGCAUCCGUACGUGCAGACUACAUGGGAUCUAUUCCAUACGACAGCAGCAAUUAAGUUGAUCAAAUUGUUAACAAGCAAGACAAGAGUCAGCACCUAAUGCUCCUUCCAAUUGUACUAGUAUACUGUGUACGCAAGACUUUGAAGUUGGGCAAUGGGGCACGUACAAAAAUUCGUCCAAAAUUAGGUAGGAGAAGUCCAACUCUAGCUGCCGAGCUAGUCCAAGAGGGAUGGAAUGGAAGACCACGCUCGAAUUGUUCCAAGAAAUGCAUGCACAUUGACGUUGAGGCGGCUACACGCCUACACCAAGCAAUCUGCUAUAGCUUAUACUGUGGUUAACUGAAAUCUGGUACGGUUGGACCCGACUUUUUUGUACCUUUAUGCUUCUUGCUGCAUGCAGUACAGUGUUCCCCUGGAGUCAACGCACACCAGAACAACUAACCACCCAGAGAGAUGCGCCUGCUGUCUUUGCUCAUCCUCCUCUUCCACCCAUUGUACGUGUGUGACGACCAAAUGAUGAUCAGGUGCUAGAUUUUGGCUUCAUCAUCGUCUGCCUAGACUGAUUUUAAACCUUUAUUUAGUGUUGCAACCUUUCCUGUCUGGGCUCAUCUUUUCAGUAGAUACUAGUACAAUAGGCACAUCUCCUAAUUUUUUUUAAAAAAAAUAGAUGGCCUCCCCACCGGCCAGUUUUGUAUAUAUUCAAUAACGAGAGAAAAAAAAGAGAGAGAGUAAUUUACAGCAACACCCGUUUACUCUGUUUCAUGAUUCGUGUUAGUUGUGCCGAGCAAGAGGUAGCUAGAAGUGACAAUAAGCAGGAAGAAGGUGCCUUGAUAGAGGUUAAGGUUAAUGCCCUUCUACUUUAGGAUUAUUGUUAGGGUGGGUGGUGGGAGCAAGCCUAUUUAAGCCUAGACUAGAAAGGUGUCAAAAUAAUAGCAUAAGUAUUUUAUUGUUUAAACUGUAUGUAGUAAGGGUGAAAAAGUCUGAUGCAGCUUCCCUUUGUAACUUUGCUGACAUGGAAAAUUCCUUUGCAUCAUUGUACGUCUCUAAUUCUAGCUAGGGAUCAUCCUUAGCUUAGACUUACAACAACUAGUAAGAUUCCACCCUUCAGAUAUAAUAAGUCUCAAAGUAAAUUUCUUCCAUAUAAUAUUAAGUAUAGUAAUAUGUAUAUUAUUAAUUGUAAAUUCAUUGCUAAGCAUAUAUUUGAGUUACUAAUUAGUAGCGUAUAAUUCAAAAUUUACCCCCACUGGUUGUAAAGUAUUUUCUACUUUCUAUAUAUUGGAAAUGGCAUUAAAAGCAUGCUCCAUAUACUAGGGGACCCUAAACUCUGGAGGACAAUAGCGAGAGAAGCAUGGCCCUUGUCUUAAUCCAGACCGUUUGGCGCCCAAAAAGCACGCAGAUUAUCAUAUUUUUACAUACAGUUAGGAGUAUAAAAAUUAGCGCGGGAUCAGCGGCCGCUCCUGCCGUCAUUCCAUCCACCGCUGCGCUGCAAGUCCAAGAAAUCCUCGCAACCCAACACCAAGACGCCGACGAGGAAGAAGGAGGAGGAGGAGGAGGACGCGUAAUCAACACACAAAGGCGGAAGAUUCCAUUCCGAUCCUCCCAAAAUCCCGAGGCGCCCGCGCGCCUGCCCGCCUGCCCGCUUGCCAGCCAUGGCCGUGCCGCCGGAGGAGCACCGGCAGCGGGAGCAAGAAGAAGAAGAAGAAGAAGACAGCGACGAGUUCACCUUCCCCACGCCGCCGCCGCUCCUCGCCCGCGGCAGGGACGGGCGCCACCUGCCCUGCUCGGCGUCGGCGUCGUCCUCCCCGCCCGUCUGGCUGCUUUCCUCGCCGAUCCGCCGCAGCUUCUCCGCCGCCGACUGCGCCGCCUCGCCGUGGCGGGACCGUGUCCUGCUCGGCCGCCAGCGCCUCAACGGCGCGUGCUCCCCCGCGCUCAGCGACUACGCCGCCGCCGGCGGCUUCUGCGACGACGAGGAGGAGGAAGAGGAGAGGAUGGACAGCCUCUGGGAGGACCUCAACGACGACGACGCGGCGGCCGGCCGGCCCCGGAACGACGACCUGUUCCUAGCAGGCUCCCUCGACGUGUCGCGCCGCCGGUCCGUCGCCGGCGGCCCCGUCUCCGCCGAGAGGGCGAGGAGGGCGGCCAAGGACCAGCGCGAGGCCGCCGCCGCCGCGGUGCUGGGCGCGUCGAGGAGCUCGCGGCGCCGGGCGCCGGGGCUGGUGGUGAUGAUGCGCGCACUCAGGAGGAUGUUCGUGGCGCACAAGGGCAAGAGCAGGGUGCACAGGGACGAGCAGAGCGCCGCCUCUGCAUCGGCUUCCUCCUUCCUGCAGUAAAAAUCCCUUCAACAAAGGAUGAGCGGAUGCAUUUUUUGGUGAAGAAACUCAGCCUUAUACUCUUCUAAUGCGUUUAUUUCGUUUUAAAUCCUGUUGUGCUUCCAUUUCUUGACUGGAUUAUUGUUCCGGGCCGGCCAUGUUGAUGAUCACAGUUCUAAUGUGCAUCGUUGUGGAUAGUAGUUCUAUCUGUUUUUUUCUCUUUUGGUUACAAAGAAAAAAAGAAUUGAUGUUCUAAUUAGACUGUAAAUGUUAUAUGGACAGAGUUGGAGAUCGCCGAGGCUGUUCUCUUUCACCCUCUCUUUCUAGAAUUUUAGAUUGUGUUUGUAAUUAUAUUCCUGUGUUUUCCUAUAAUCUGAGAUGUACGAACCAUGGUGAGAUUGUGUUCUGAAUAACUCUACUUAAUUAGCUGCAUGCCUGCAUACUGCAUAAGCCCAUAAACCACCAAUACAAUUAUGUAUUUUUUUUCAAAAAAGAACAUGCCCUGGAUUAUGUACUCGAUUAUCCUUUGCUUGGACUAAAUUACAGGCGAAGAAUUAGGCACAUGUCCACUGUCAUCUGCUAGAUCAUGGAAGCUGGAUGAUUCGGAUGCAUUAGGACAAAACCCACCAGCAGCUUCUUAGGUUGGACCUGUCUGCACAAAUGGACAAGGUCGGUUAGGCCAUGUAACUGACGAGUGACGACCUGUCAAAUGAAGGCAUGCUGCAGUUGUUGUAGCAAUCAGGUCAACUUUGGGAAGCACCGAUGAUUCGAACAUUCAGUAGUACGCGCAGACUGACUGCCACCUUGAUGAUGACACACAUUUUCAGUUCUUGUCUGCUUGAGCAAGGUUGGUUCAGGGCCAAUUAUAUAUUUACAGUCAAUAGAUAAUUAACUAAUUCGCAGGAAAAUUAUAUAUAGAUCAAAGUGGUUUUAAGUUCUAACCCAACGAUGGCAUCGUCGUCGUCGCCUCCGCCGUGGCCCGAUCUCCUGCCGGAAGUCCUCGGACAGAUCGUCACCUACCUCUGCCCUGCCGAUGUCGCCCGCUUCCGGGCCGUUUGCCGCGCAUGGCACUCCGCCGCGCGCCAGCUGCAUGGCCAUCAGCACGAACAGCAGCUGAGUUCUUACCAUCCCUAGACAGACGGCCAUACCGAGCGUGUCAAUCAAUGCAUGGAGACGUUCCUUCGUUGCUUUGUUCAUGCGUGCCCAACCAAGUGGUCCAGUUGGUUAUCUCUUGCGGAGUUCUGGUACAACACUAGCAUGCAUUCAGCAUUGGGUCGUUCUCCUUUUGAGGUGCUGUAAGGUCACUCUCCAAGAUAUUUUGGCAUCCAGGCUGCUUCUGCAUGCACCAAUUCUGAUUUGUCUGCUUGGCUGCAAGAACGUGAGGUGAUGCAAGCACUUGUUAAACAUCAUCUCUAUCGAGCACAAGAUCGUAUGAAACACCAAGCUGACAAGGGGCGUUCAGAACACCAAUUUCAAGUUGGAGAGCUGGUUUGCCUUAAGCUGCAGCCUGAUGUCCAAUCUUCACUGUCCGCUCGUGCUAACCAGAAGCUUGCCUUUAAGUUUUUUGGGCCCUUCAAAGUGUUGCAGCGAGUGGGAUCAGCGGCAUAUAAGCUUGAGCUUCCAUCAGAUGCUACAAUUCACCCAGUUUUCCAUGUGUCGCAGCUUAAGAAGGCAAUUGGUGUUCAGGUAGUAUCUCCUGACUUACCUCCUGGUGAUACAACAUUUCAGGUCCCUGAGCGUGUUCUGGAGCGACGGAUGUCUUCUGGUGAUCGGCCGGUUCUCCAAGGUCUGAUCAAGUGGUCAGGUAUGCCUGCUGCAUUGCAUUGGCCACAUGAAAGAAUUUGGACUCUCUUCGUCAACGUCUUCCGCUGGCGCCGACUUAGGGGCAAGUCAUUUCUCAAGGAGAGGGGAAUGUUACCAGUACUUCUGCUGCAGCUGAUGACAAGGUGGAGAAUGCAAGUCCUGAAGAGGCGUGUAAUCAAGCCUAAUAGGAAAGUGAGCGGUCCGGACUGGAGGGUUUAGGUUAUAUGUGUAACAGUAGUGCGUGCGAGAGAGAGGCAUCACGGAUUGUAACAUCUUUCUGAACUCUAAACAUUCUUCCGCCGCCCGCCGCCCCUAUUCUUCUUCCUCCUCUGCUCCGAUCCCCAACUCGAGUUCGCCUUCCCUUCCUCGCUGUUAACAGGCGGUUCUCCACAAUGCCCUGGGGUACCUGGGCGUUCGCUGCUCCUGCAGUCCUGCUGCCGACGCCGGCGGCGUGCGCAACGUCAAAAGCUUCGAGCCUGCGAAGUAAAACUGCGUUUUUUUAAAAAAAAUUCCUAGAGUGCAUUCUGAAUCCUCUGAAUCCGCUUGUUGUAUGUUUUUUUGGGAGUUUUUGUGGUGGAUUCACCAACUGCUUAGAAUCACCAAAUCUGUAUAGAUACAUGUACAUUUCUAGCUAAGGUUAUGUGCUAGCUUUACUGCAGUAGCAGUGCCGCAUCUAAGUCCAGAGAAUUGUUUUAUCUGCACCUUUUGUGCACGCUGAAUUGAUUUGGCAACCUCAUUUUACUUUAUAUACGUAUAAUGCAAGAUAUUUCUGGUCAGUAUAUGAAUUAUCAAAAUCAGCGGCAAUAUGCACAAUGUUCAGACAAUGCUUAAGAAAUACUAGUUCUAGAAAAGGUUUAAUAAUCGUACAUGGGACUAUAGGAUUCAAUUGAAUGGAAGUACAAGGGAUAAUAAGAUCACGACACUCAAAGCAUCGUAUAGCCAGUAAAGCUACUGCCUCCGAAGGAGAACUAGGUUCUCAGUGUGAUCAUCAUAUACCAAUUUUGCAAUCAGGAAGAAUGCCAGCAAUGCAAGAGCAGCAAGUCCUCCAAAAACAAAUCCAUAGAUAAGUGCAUGAUGCAACUUGUGUUCUUGUGAGAUGGAGGAUUGGUGACUUGACACGGAGAUGCAGUGGUUGCUGAGUAACGCGCCACAGAGAUUAGGAUUCCCACCGUAACUAGAAUUUGAAAACGUAUCAAACUGUGCUCCAGUUGGAAUUGGCCCUUCCAGUUCAUUAUUAGACACAUUGAAUAGAGAAAGGAAGUGCAGGCCACUCAAUGCAGAUGGGAGUUCACCGGUGAUAUGGUUGUUUGACAGGUCUAGCAUUUGUAGGUUUGUGAGCUUGCAGAUUUCUUGGGGUAUUUCUCCAGAAAAGCCAUUGGAACUGAAGUUGAUGACAUUGAGCAUUUUCAACUGACCAAUCUCAGGGGGGAUCGUUCCAGUGAAUCUAUUGUUUCCUAAGUUCAAUACACUGGGGAAAGCAUUGAGCAUACGGUAUUGAUGUGACUGUGUCCAAUAUACAGGUAACUCAAGGAACUUCAUGUCCAACUUGGCAGAAUUCUUCUUAUAUUGUAGCAUCGGCAUCUCCAUCAAUGCCAUUGGGAUAUCCCCUGUAAUCAUGUUGCUUGAUAUGUCCAGAAAGAAGAGGAGUUCCAGUCUGUUAAUCCAUGAUGGUAUCAGCCCAGUGAGUCGAUUGCUGGAUAAAUCUAGCACCUCCAACUUUUUGAGCUUUGACAGCCAAGGGGGGAUUUGUCCGACCAAUGGGCAACCAUCUAAGGUCAGUAUCUGAAGAUUCUCAAAACCAUCAAUUGUUUCAUCCUGUGGCAUAGUUUCGCCGUUGAAGUUGGUUCCUAUUACUAAAGUGGUGAGGUUCUUGCAGCUCUUGAGAAUCUGUAUCACAUUUGUGAUGUUUGUAAAAGAGUUAUCUGUCAGUGAAAGGAAGGAGAGAGACCUAAGAUUUCCUAUUCUUGGUGGCAAUUGGCCAUGAAAAUCAUUGUAGGCCAACCGCAAUGCAAUUAAAUUGCUGCACAAGCAAAUGCUUUCUGGAACUUUACCUGUGAAGUAGUUCAGCGAAAAAUCUGCUGUUCUCAGAUCGAGUAGGGUGAAGUUGACUUUGCUGAGAUCUCCGGAAAAACUGUUGUUUCUGAGGUUGAUAUACCUGAUAUUUGAGCAGUUACCUAGGGUCGAUGGCAGCUCACCAGACAUGAGGUUGUUGUCCAAGUGGAGCUCCUCCAAUUUUCUUAGCCGGUCUAUAGAAUCUGGGAUUUUGCCUCUGAGACCAUUUGAUCCAAGAUCAAGGACCGUCAAAUUGUUGAGUUUGACCACUUGGGAACCAUCAAAAACUCCUUGUAAACCAUUGUUAGGAAAAGAGAGGUGUUCCAAUGAGGUAGCACUGAAGAGUUCAUGAGGAAGAGCUCCACUAAGGUCGUUGUGCCCAACCUUGAUCACUCUCAGCAUGGAGCAAUUGCCAAGUUCUGGAGGUAUAUUGCCGCUGAAUUUGUUGUAACAAAGGUCCAGAACACUGAAGGAAGGGGAGCUCUUACAGAUAGAGGCUGGUAUCUGUCCUGCAAAGCUAUUAUUGCUAGCAUUAAGAGCAAUCAAAUUCUUCAUUGCGCCCCAUAUUGUGGAUGGAAACUGUCCCGUAAAGAAGUUGCUCGAGAUAUUCAGUACCUGCAGAGGAAGAUUGUGAUUUAAAGGUCGCAGCUCUUUCAAGGGACCUGUCAGAUGGUUGAAGCUGACAUCAAGGACAGCGAUGCUGUUGUGCAACACCAAUUCAGUCGGUAGAAUUCCAUGCAGAGAAUUGUGGGAGAGGUUGAGAUUCAUUAACCCUGUGAGAUUGGCAAGGGACGGCGAUACACUCCCCGUAAGUCCUUUAGAAGCUAAUGAGACACCCAUGACCGUGUUGUCACCUCUGCAGGUGACCCCUUCCCAAGCGCAGCAGUCAGUACCAUGCAUCCAUGACAUUCUGAGGCUGCCAUCGCUGCCUGGUGAGAGCUGAGCAAGGAAGUCUAGGAGGGAGCUCUGCUCGUCCUCCGUGCAGGAACUGGUGAGCGAAGCAAAGGUGAGCAGCAGCAGAACAACAAGGCCAAGGAAAGUCAUGGUGAAUUUUUGUUGGUGCUGAAGCUGAAGCAUGGGAAAUGGAGGAGACAUGGUUCUCAUGAGUCUGGACUGAGUAGUUCAGUACUUGAAUAGAUCUAAAGAUCUCAACUGAAAUGAGAGAAAACAAAAUUAUGCUUGUUGAUGUUGCAUGUAGAAUAAUUUUAAGCCUAUUCUAGACUUCUGUUUAUACAAUUAGAUGUUACAUGGACUGCAAGUAACAAAUUCAGGAGAGCCAACCACUAUGACUAUGCUGCAUUCACAAUGAUAGCUACACUAAUAGAAGGUUACAACACCGAAGAGAAGUUGCUGGGUAAGUAUGGUCAGAGCCAGCGAAUCCUAGCCUGCUAUAUGUUACAGACUAUGCCGUUGGUAUUCCAGUACAAGUCUUCUCAAUAUAGGAUAAAUAUCAGAGCUACGGUUUUAAUUAUAUGUUUUUUUUGGAAACACAGUGAGGUGAACCCCACACAAACUUGGGGAGGAAGUUCAGCAGUGAUUUUUUCUUGGAGUGCAGGGGCCAUAAUGGGUCAUGUUAUCAGCGUCAUGAGGAUGAGAAUGACUAUUCCUCUGAAUGUUUUCAUGGAAACUUCAUGAGGAUGAGAAUGACUAUUCCUCUGAAUGUUUUCAUGGAAUUGUUUCCAUGAUAAUAGAAGGAUUGUGGACCUAAACAGAACUGAAAGAACAGAGAUUUAUAUAGAGAAAGGACAAUAAGCUGGCAGGCGCUGCUGAAGGCUGACCAUGCAAAGGUUAACGGCCAAGUGGUAGGUGUUAUGUCCAAUCCUUCAGCUGAAACAUGGAGGCUAAGCCAAAGGUUUGACCAUCUAACAUGAUCACAUCUCUGUAACCGGUAGCUCAUUUUACUGCUGGUGGUAGGUGUUAUGUGGAGGGAAAAAAUAAUCAAGAUUAGAAGCACAUCAAAUUUGAUCUUCUGAACAAGCACAUCAAAUUCUCCGAUACAUGAACGUUUGCGAUAGCUCGGUUUACUCAAUUUAAGAAGGCUAGAUUUGUCUUCUAUUCUUUGAUAAGAGAAGCUUUAUUAAUCUUAGACAACUACGUCAAGAUGAUACAACCAUAGCUGUGAUCCACACAGCUACCUAAGCCCUAAAGAAGUAGUAAAAAGCUAAAGACAUAACACCAUAUAUCCAUAUCGUAACAAAUAUCCAUUUCAGUACCUGGCUACUAAACUCCUGCGCAUGCAACCGGGCUUGAAUUGUGCAGCUAGGUUACGGGCAUAAGUACUCCUACAUUCUUAUGCAUUCCAUUUGAGCCGCUCGAUAAUUCUUGCCACGAUAAUGGAGACAAACACAAGCACCAGCAAUAUGCCUUCGUAAACGUAAUCCAUUGUGCUUCUGGCGGAGCCGAAAGUCAAUGCCCCCAUCAAAGCGAGGAGAUCCAAGACUACAAGCACGUUGCAUACCUUCAAUUUGCUCCUGCUGCUGCUGCUGAGGCGGCGCCAGAACAACUUCACUGGUUAUGAUUCCAUCGACUGCUUCAGGAGAAAACUGGGUGACGGUGACCUCUUGCAGGCUGUGCCAGAACAACUGCCGAUGAAUCACAGGCUCCCUGCAGAUACUUGGACGCCAGACAUGAUCAAGUAAUUCUUUUUUUUGAACAUUAAUGAUCAAGUAAUUCCGCCGGUUGGUUUCUUAAGUUAUCAGUACCUGGCCAUGAUCAGAAUAAAUGAGAAAAAACAACUAAAUUUUUUUAUGGAUAUAUGUAGUAGAUACCUUGCUCUCUGAAAGGUUAAAGUAAGUUUAUUUCUUUUAUAUAUGAAGCAAAAUAAAACCUUUGCAGUUUGAUUAAUUGAUUGAGGUUAGUUUUGACGUAAGUAUACUAAUACAAUUAGCAUGGUGAAAGCACCUUUAAUUAUACUAAUAUAUCCAAAUCUGAUUAGAAAAAUAGCAAAAGGACUAACGAACCUUUUAGAAAUAUAUAAACGCAUUUUCCACCUGCAAAUCAAAGGAAAUGAAAGAAUGAGACGGUAAGAAUCCACAUGACUUACUAGCAGAAUCACCUAGAUACUUCUUCAGGCCAAAUCUGGAAGAUCGGGUAGGGGAACAGCAGGGAGGGAGCGUAGUGGGAGCAGAGGAGAUGACCGGACCACCGGUGGUGAGGACGGAUUGGAAUUGGAGGCCGCAGGCAGGCGGCGCGGAGGUUGCGAAUGGAUGGGGCUCGGGACUCCGGGAGGUGGUGGUGGUGGUGGUGACUGCCUGACUGGUAAUGGCUGGGCACCGGAGAGGACUGCUGUGGCAGUGAGAACCGAGGAGUCGGCGGUGGUGGCCUGGUGGGGGAGCUUGGCACCAUUUUCUGUCGAGAAACUUUCGGCUACUCGGUGGUGGUGGUGGGAGUCAUGCUCGGCAAGGCCCAUCAGCAUUUUCCACCAGCGCUGCAAUGCUACCCUACAACAUGCAUCUUGGAUCUGCAUGAAUACACAUCAGCUUCAUUGGUAUCCUUUUUCAUCGGCACCAAGAUGUUUAAUUAAAACUGAGAACAUGCAGAACUUAGGACUUACUAGCAUCCUGAUAUCCUAGUCUGCAUGCCCAAUUCAAGAAGGGGGGCAAAAUGUCUAGGAACACUUCGGUGCUUUUUGUAGCAGCUUGUGCGUAUCUACCAAACCCUCUGUCUUCACUAUUUCCAUCGUCCUGUAUUUUGUUGAUUUUUAUGUAAUUCUCAUUAAGUUGUCGGCCAAUAUAGAAAUUUGGGUAAAUUCUUAGUUGCUGACUUAUUCAUCUUGUCCCUACUUCAAUGACCAACGAUAUCGAACUUUCAAUGAACAAGGCAUCACCUAGAAAAGAAAUGUUCCUCCAAUUAUUCAAAAAAUUAAAUGGUAAUAAAAGAAUGGAGUGGAGUUUGAACCCAACAAGCUAGCAAGCCAUUACUGCAAAUGUGGACCUUUGCAUCGCAGAAACAAUAAGGAAUGACUAGAGCAAAUCUCUUGAUCGAAGCAAAUGUGGAUGCUUCUCCAGCGAUGUUGGCGGCUGCAGUUGCCAUCCUCGCCGUUGUUGCAUCGCUCCCACUACUGCUCCGCCUCCUCUCUGCCAGCUCCGGCGGCAAGAAGACGAAGCCCCCACUGCCUCCCGGUUCGUUCGGUCUACCUUUCAUCGGGUAGACGCUCAGCCUGGUUCGCGCCCUCCGCGCCAACACCGCCGACGACUGGCUCCGGCGCUACGUGGUCGCGUACGGCCCCGUGUCGCGUCUGUCCCUCUUCGGCUGCCUGACGGCCUUCCUCGUUGGCCCCGCCGCCAACAAGUUCAUCUUUGCCAGCGCCGCGGUGACCGCCAAGACCGCCAAGACCCCCGAGUCCCUCGCCCGGAUGGUCGGCCGCCGGACGAUCCGGGAGGUGGUCGGUGACGAGCACCGCCGAGUCAGGGCCACGAUGGCGCAGUUCCUCAGGGUGGACGCCGUCAAGAGGUACGUCGCCGGCAUGGACGGAGAGGUCCGGCGCCACCUCGACGCCGAGUGGUGCUGCCGCGGUGCCGUGGCCGUGAUGCCGUCGAUGAAGCUGCUCACCUUCGACGUCAUGUGCACCGCCAUAUUCGGCCUGGGGAGGGACGCCGCCGUACGGCGGGAACUGUGGACGGAAUUCCAGCAGCUGGUGAGGGGCAUCUGGGCGGUCCCGGUCAACCUGCCCUUCACCAUCUACAGCCGCUGCCUCGCCGCGAGCCGGGAUUAAAUCGUCCGUGGAAAGGAUUGCAGGCGCCCGACAGUGGCGGGUGGCCGCCCGGCGCAAGCAGCCUCCACGUCGACCUCUCUGGAAUUACAGCACCACAUGAAGCUAUUCUCAGUAUCCCUCCAGGUAUUUGCAGAUGCUGCCAAUGAAUCACCUCCAUUUGACCCCGAGUACACUCUCAAGAUCGAGAUCUUCAAGGCGGACAUCAAUGACGGCAUAUGGGUUUCAGUCACGGGUCGUGAUGCGCUACAUGAAGGUGAGGCAUUCUUUCUCAGCCAUCAUUCAGAAAGUCCACCCAUGUGUACGGAGACAUGGAAGAGGGUUGUGUCGGGACUAUAGCCCCUUUAUUCACGGGUCAAUUUUAAACCGGGUAAAAGUGUAAUAUCCCUUAAAUUGAGCGAUAUUAAUUGUGCCAGUUUUUGUAAAAAAUUAAAACUUUUUAUUUGAUCGUGUGAAGCGUAUAAAUACUUGGUCAAAUUUAAGAUCAACCCUUAAUUCUUUCUUCUAAAUUCAAAAGCUAGUAAUUAAAUUGUGUAUUUAAAUUUAAAACAUGCUUGCACGAGUGAUUUAGAUUUUAUUUGAUUUAAUUUGGAUCUCAAAGGUAGAUCAAAAAAUACAAACUAAAACUAGCAUAAUAAAAAUCCAACAUGACUAACUCUAACUUGCACCCGAGCUUUUCACAACUCAGCCAGCUCGGUCUAAACGGCUAAUCCUUAUCUCUCUCUCCUUUUCACGUAAAAGCUCACCAGCUGUUGUUGGAAGCCAAUCAUGUUAGCUUUGCUUUGGGCUUAAACCUGUUUAGCAUCCAUCUUCUUUUGCUCCUUGUUUUCUCCUCGCACGCACACAAACUAGGAAUUUUUUUAUUUUUUAUUUUAGCAUUUUGCAAAAAUAUAUGGUCGGAUGAAAAAAUUGCAAAACUAGGCUAUUGUCGCCGGCUGGGCCGGCGGUAAGGCGCUUCCGCCGGUCCAGGCGGCGGUAAGGAGCGGUUGGGCCGGCGGAAGGCCUUACCGCUCGCCCAGCCAGCGGUAACGGGUACACUCCUCCGCACCAUACUUUUAAAAAAUCAUAACCAAUUCAUAUCAACUCGGAUGGAGAUAAACUUUAUAUAAAAUUUGUAGAUCUCGACGAGAUCUACAACUUUGUAGUUAAAUUUUUUUUCAUUUGAUGUUAUAUUGGUGCUCAAAUAAUUGACACAAGUUUCAGAUCUACAUCUGAAACUUGUGUCGAUUAUUUCAGCAACUAAAUGACUCCAAAUGAAAAUAGUUUGAACUACAAAGUUGUAAAUCUCGUCGAGUGCUACAAUUUUCAUAUAAAUUUAUUUCUAUCUGAACUUAUAUGAAUUAUUUAUCAUUUUUGAAAGUGUGCUGCCUAAUUUCAAAUCUAAAAAUUAAAUUUUAGAUCUGAAACUUGUGUCGAUGUUUACCGCUAGAUUUUUCCAAUAGAGUGCUCAUGUUAGUAAAAAGAUUUUUCACCGUUGGAUCCUACCUUUGCCGCUCUAUUUUUAUCCCAAUGAUGAUUUUAGCGUUGGAUAGAAGUAUCGCGAGUCUUGUGGUGGCUAUUCGGCAAAGUAAAAUAUCUGGAUUUUAUAGUACCUAGCUAGCGUUGGCUAGAAACAUCGCGAGUCUUGUGGGGGUUAUUCGGCAAAGUAAAAUAUCUGGUCAUCUCCUCAUCUUUUCCCUGUAAUAAAAGGUGGGAAGCUUGCCAUCAAUGCAUUGUACAGUCCUUCACAAAAUGCCUUUUUAUCAAACUACUGUACAUUAGAUAGAAUAUAUUAAAAUAAUGGAAUCGAUUAAAACAAUGAAGAAAAUAUCCCUAGGAGAUUUGGAGGUUCUUCAUCAGAUGAAAUAGAUUAAAAAAUGAAGGAAAUGUCCUAGGGGAUUAAAAAAUGAAGGAAAUGUCCUAGGGGAUUUGGAGGCUCUUCUUAUGAACAAAUCAUGUUCCAGUCCAAUUUUAUGAUUUGCUACACAUCAAAAAAAAUACACAAACAUCUAACCUAUAUAAAAAAAUUACAAAAACAUCAUAAAUCAACAUGUGCAAGGAUGGUUUAUUGUAGCUAACUACCCAAUGCAACAUGCCAAAUAAAUUGGAUGACCAAAAAUCUAUCAGCAUCUUUCCUUCCUUUGUUCACAAGAGAUGGGUACUGGGUUUGGGCGCCGGAGUCAGCUGCCAGCAUCAGGGAUAUUGGACCUAAUAGAUCAAAAAAUAACAAUUCCACACAACAUCAAAAUAAUUUGCUAAAGCGGGUUGCUGACGCCGCUUCUUUCUCCUGACACUCCUGACGCUCCCUUGCCUCGCGCUCCCUCGCUUCCCUGGCUUUCUUCUCUGCCAUCCGGUGCCCCUCCUCGUGAUCGCGGGUGAACUUGACUUUGUACAGGCCUUCCUUGAGACGGCAAGGGCGGCACCCCCACCACUCCAUCUGAUUCAACAUCUCGCCGCCGAGCGCCCCCACCCCCACCGGGGCAUCCGCGCGCGCGUUGGCUUCUCUCCGCGCGCGCGCCCGCCCCACCGGACUGUCGUCACCGUUGCCGCCCUCGAGCUCGAGCGCGAGCGCGUCGUUCGCGGUGGCUCCCCCCAUUGGUCGGUCCCGCCGAGCGCCGCCUCCCUUCGUCGCGUGCGUCGCCGCCGCCGCCGCCCGCUGUGUUGCUUGAGGAAGGAGUUGAAAGAGGAGCCUGCUGAUGGCUUGGGCCGAAUUUUCGGGUGGUAUAGAGAGGCUUUGUUUUCUCGAGCGAGGUUGUUUUAUCAGUAUACUUCUGUAGAUAACUUUAGUUUGUAUUUUUUGAUCUAAUCCAAAAAUACAAACUUACCUUUGAGAUCUAAAUUAAAUCAAAUAAAAUCCAAAUCACUUGUGCAAGCAUGUUUUAAAUUUAAAUGCAUAAUUUAAUUACUAGCUUUUCAAUUUAGAGGAAAGAAUUGAGGGUUGACCUUAAAUUUGACCAAGUAUUUAUAUGCUUCACAUAAUCAAACAAAAAGUUUUCAUUUUUUGCAAAAAUUAGAACAAUUAAUAUCACUCAAUUUUGAGGGAUAUUACACUUUUGUCAUGAUUUAAAGUUGGCCCGUGAAUAAAGGGGCUUUAGUCCCGACGCAACCCUCCAUGUCUCCAUACACACGAGUGGACUUGUUGAAUGAUCGGCUCAGAAAGAGUGCCUUGCCUUCAGUUAGCGUAUCGAUCCGUGAUUGAAACCCAUCUGCCAGCAUUGAUGUCCGCCUUGAAGAUCUCGACCUUGCAAGUGUACUUGGGGUCAAAUGGAGAUGAUUCAUCAGCAGCAUCUGCAAUUACCUUGAGGGACACUGAGAAUAGCUUCCUGUGGUGCCGUAAUCCUAGAGAGUUGUGGUGCCGUAAUCCGGUCGACGCGGAGGCUACUGGCGCCGAGCGGCCACCCGCCGUUGUCGGGUGCCCGCAACGAGUACUGCCUCCGGAGCUCCUGGAUCUUCGGCUGGAUCCGCUUCCACACGAACUCAACCUCCACGAUGGGUGCCCCCGCCGCGACGGGCGGUAGUGGGGGUAUGGGGCCCGCAAGCGCUGACACCAACGUGAGGAGGUGCUCAAGCUCACAGUCGGCGGCCAUGGCGAGCAGCGGGAACGCGGGGCCUGACGGCGAGGAGGAGGAGGAGGAGAAGCUCCCGGUGCGCGGCCAUGGCGAGCGGCGGGCGUCCGGGGGCGGUGGAUGGAGGCGGAGGGACUGCGCGAGUGUGUGCGGGAGAAAAAAUAGAACGGGAUGAAACGAACCGGUAUGUUCAUAAUUUAUGGUAGGUGGGUAAUUUUUUACCCUAAAAUCACUUGAAAAUAGGGGAAGGUGCUUUUGAUUUUGGACUGGAGCAAAAGUAACUUUUGGGCAAAAGCACAUGUGGCUUGUAGGUCAUUUGGUUAGCUUUCGACUUUUGUAAAAGUAAAAGCAGGUCGAAAAGCUCAAUCAAAUGCACCCUAAUAAACUUGCGGACGCAGACUUAACUAUAAAGCUGUUGUGCAAGGUCUGGAAGCAAGUACACCGCGGAAUUCAAAGUAUUUCUUCUGACCAACUCGCACAGGUCAAGAGCAUAGUUCGUGGCUAUUCCAAGAAAUCGUACGAAGACAAAACCUUUUCUUCGCUACUGUCAUCAUCAGAAUGAGGUGACAUGAUUUAAUAGCUCAUAUAAGAUGUAGGCAUGUAGCGUCUAAACGACUUUAAUAGUUCGGCAUGCACCCACCCAUCAACUUUCAGUGCUCUCUUUUAUAAGGAUUAAUUCAUUGUUUAUUGUUGGCUAAAAUGAUGACCAUGAACAUAUUCUCAAGAGUUUCUGUGUCCGUUUAAGACAUUUGAAGGUUAAAGAAAGCACCAUCAACAAGAAACAGAUUUGUAAACACAGAGGGAAGGGUCAAUCUCCCCCUAUACGGAUGCAUUCAAACUAUUAUUGAUGCUUUGUUGUUGCCUUCUAACUAGUUCUAGUGCUGCUUGUGCGUCAAACCAUGAGUUUUGGAGGGAAAAGCCCGUUUGCUAUGCCGUGGAAGGCUAAACGGCCUGCAAGACGAGGAUCUGGUGUCGAAUACUUGGUCCACAUCCACAAAAUAUAUGCAAACCUCCUCCAUGUCUCCAUACACACGGGUGGACUUGCUGAAUGAUCGGCUGAGAAAGAGUGGCUCGCCUUCAGGUAGCGCAUCACGAACCGUGAUUGAAACCCAUCUGCCGGCAUCGAUGUCCGCCUUGAAGAGGUCGACCUUGCGAGUGUAAGAGGGGUGAAAUGGAGGUGAUUGCACCUGCCGCCUCACCAUGAGCAACUCUUGGCCGCCGCAUGACUCGACAAGGAACCUACUGGUCGUGAUGUAGUCCUUGGGUUCAUAUGGCACCUCCUCGUCCACCCCAACCUCGUCAGCGCUUGGAACCAGCUGGCCAUUAUCAGGAUUGAAGCUAUCAGCUGCCUCAUCACCGGACUCUUCUCCAUCAUCACCACCACCAUCAUCGGUAUCGUAGUCAUCAUCCAUCCAGCUCCACGGGUCUUCUUCACCAUCAGCUAACGGAUGCCUGAUGACUCGCUUAAAUUUGGGAACAAUUGGACUCCCGUCGUCGUCUUCGGUAAGGUCGAAGGCGACUAGGUCCUCAUGUCGUGUGAUCCCGUAGAGUUUAUCUUUGAAGAAAGCAACAUCGAAGACGCCUAGGUAGGGAAGCACCCACCUCCCCUUGCCGGGGCGGCACGGAUGAUGGUGCAGUUGUCGUUGUUGGUGGUGACGGCGACGAGGUCAUUAGGACUAGCGUCACGCGUCCUCCUCCUCCUCCUUCCUCGUCGGCGUCUUGGUGUUGGGUUGCGAGGAUUUCUUGGACUUUGCAGCGCAGCGGUGGAUGGAAUGACGGCAGGAGCGGCCGCUGAUCCCGCGCUAAUUUUUAUACUCCUAACCGUAUGUAAAAAUAUGAUAAUCUGCGUGCUUUUUGGGCGCCAAACGGUCUGAAUUAAGACAAGGGCCAUGCUUCUCUCGCCAUUGUCCUCCAGAGUUUAGGGUCCCCUAGUAUAUGGAGCAUGCUUUUUAAUGCCAUUUCCAAUAUAUAGAAAGUAGAAAAUACUUUACAAUCAGUGUGGGGGUAAAUUUUGAAUUAUAUAUACGCUACUAAUUAAUAACUGGAAUAUAUGCUUAGCAAUGAAUUUACAAUUAAUAAUGAGGGAAAGGAGUCCUUAAACGCAUCCAACUCAUUAUUUCUGGUCCGCACCGCCGUUAUAUAUAUCCAACAAUGGCAUUGCUCGAUCGCGACCCUGAAAUCCACAGAUUGUAAGAAGCUCAACGAUGGCAUCGUCGUCGCCUCCGCCGUGGGCCGAUCUCCUGCCGGAAGUCCUCGGCGAGAUCGUCACCUACCUCUGCUCCGCCGACAUCGCCCGCUUCCGGGCCGUUUGCCGCGCAUGGCACUCCGCCGCCGCGUGCGAGCUGUAGGACGAACAGCAGCAGGUGAUGCUGUGGAUCGUGAUCCCCAAUGGCUCCUUCUGCACCAUCGGCGACACCGGCGCCUUCUUCAACCGGAUUCCCAGCCUGCCUGACAACGUGACCUGCCUCGGCGCCACCGACAGCUGGCUCGCUCUCGACUGCACCGACGAUGUGUUCCGGCGCACAAACCUCUGGGACACGUACCGCGACGGCGAAUUCCUCGAGCCCAGGAGCGACGUCAAGCACGAGCACAAUUACACAACCCCUUCUACGAAAAGACCGUGCCGCUCCCCGAGCUCGACUCCAUCGCCGGCCAUGUCAACGAGACGUUCGAGAUCCGCAAGGUGCUCAUGCGCUCCGCUAGUCCUGAUGACCUCGUCGCCGUCACCACCAACAACGACAACCGCACCAUCAUCCUGUGCUUCCCUACCUAGCAUUCAAAGGAAAACUCUGCAGGUAGUACUAGUGCUCCAUCAGUUGCAGAAUGUUGAAAUGCUAAAUAUCAUGCAGACACACUAUGGCAAAUGUCGUACAGACAUACUGAAUUAUAGUUUAACUAUGCGUUAUUCAUACAAGGAAAUAUUUGAUUAGUAAGGUAGCAAGUAACAUCGGCAUCCCUCAGUUCCAAGUAGUACAUUCAUAAAUUUUAGUAGUACCCAUUCAUGUUUGUAUCACUGAUAAGGAACCGUAAUGAAUUCACCUUUUACGUUCAUCUUGCUGUUGUGCGAAAUUGAAAGCAGUAGAUCCUACAUCAAUAAUCAACCCUUGCUGUUAUGCGUUUGCCUCCCUCCGCCGCCGCCCCACCCGCGCCGGAGCGUCGUCACCCCCGAGCGCGUGCGCCAGUGCGUCGUUCGCCGCCGCAGCUCUCCCCAUUGCUCUCCCACGCUUCCGUCGCCGCCGCUCGCUGCGAGGUGGCUUGAGGGAGGGGAUGAAAGAGAGACGGCCUGCGGGCUGGAGUAAAAGGAAGAGAGGCGAGCUGGGCUGGCGAGCAGGCUGCGGGGGACAAAGACGAGACGGCCUGCGCGCCGGCUGGGGCGCUGGGAGGGCCGCGAUGCUGGGCCAGAGGAAAGGGGCGGCCCGCUGCAGCUGAUGGCUUAGGCCGAUUGCUGCGGUGGGCUGGGCCGGAAGGAGAGGCAGGGCGAGAAGCGAAUUUUUUUAUUUUUAUAUUAUUUUUUAACGAAUUUUCACAAAUAUAUAAUCAAAUAAAAAAUUUGCAAAAUAGGCUUGUGCCACCGGUUGAAUAGAGAGGGUUUGUUUAUGCCUGUGCUGCUGUGCCGAAGGCACGAGGUAUCUUGCCCAGGGGAGUCUCAGACCUUGCUGCUGGGCCGAAUAUCUUGCACUAGAUAUUAUAGAUGUACAUUUGGGCCACCCGGCCCGGUCCAGCACGGCCCAGCAUGGCCCGUUAUUUUUUGUGCCGGGUCUAGCCCGUCAUGAGGACUCCGUCGUGCCGAGUUGUAACGGCCCACGGGCCUCACCGGCGGCCCAAGCACGGGCCCGUAAAGCUUUUUUUGUGUCGAGCCGGCCCGAAGAUCCCGGCCUGCUUUGGGCCACGGGAGGCACGGCGGGCCACCGCCGCUAGUCCGCUACUGUCCCCUCGUGCCGCCACCAGCCUCCCACGCCGUCGAUGCCGUCCCCCCGCGGCUAGCACCGCCACCGGCCUCACACGUCGUCGUUGUCAUCCCCCCGCGCAGCUGCUCCCCGGCCGGCCCCUGCGCUAUCGUGACCACUCCCUGCCCCUCCCCCCGCGCUGCUGUCCCUCCGCGCCACUGCUCCCUGGCCGGUCCCCACACUGUCGCCGCCGCUCCCCGACCCCCCGCGCCGCCGUCCCCUUGCACGGCCGUCGCUGUCGUCCCCUCACGCCGCCACUCUCCAGCCCCCUGCGCUGCCGCUCGCCGAUGGGGAAGAUGCGAGAGAUGGGUGGAGGAUUGGAGCCUGGACCGGAGGUUGGAGAUUCGGUGGCCUGGACUGGAGGUUGGAGAUUCAGAUUCAAUUGGAGAUAGGAGAGGUCGAGAGGAAGGGGUGACGCCGUGACGGGUGGAAGAUUGGAGUUCAACGGUGCAUAGUAUUUUUUUGUUGCUAUUAGGUUAACGGGCCAUUUCGGGCCGGAAUGCAAAAAUUGUGCCGGGCCAUGACGCCCGUCGUGCCGAGGCGACAACCCACGCCUAGCACGAGUCAUCGGGUCAGGCCAGGUUGGGCUUGAAAUGGGCCAAAAAAUGGGCUUUGUGUUGGACUGCGGGCUGCAUGGUCAUCUAUACUGUACUAGAUAUCUUGCUGCUGGGCCGAAUAUGUUCAGCGUGCGUAAAGUAUUUAUUCGAUAUCAGAAUUGCUAUUGUAUCUGUGCAUGCUUUUACUUGAGGACUUAUGUGUGAAUACCUAUAGUACUGCUGAGCUUUUGUAUCAUGGACUGUAAGGAGGACAUAAAUAAAAAUUACGUCUGUUCCAUUGUUAGAUGUUUCCUACACUGUUAACCUAACUAUUUAUUCGAUAAAAAACUUGGAACUUUAGCUGCUUCAGACCAUAAAAGUAAAAUCUUGCUUUGCUAAGCCCUCAUUUGUAUGUCUCCAGGGAUAAGAAUGUGAAGCACCUGUGCCAUCAUCAUCAUCAGCUUAGCAGGGUCACUUUGAUAUUCCAACGAAAGGCACCUUGCUAGCCUCCCUGAUUGCCCCCUAACAAUGAAGACGCAUGAGCGAGCUGCCAAUUUGGCUCUUGCUGGUACAUUUCUUGUUCAAUUCAGUCAUCGCUGCCUUUGCAAUCUUUACCUUGAUACCUUCUUCCUUUUCUUUUGAUAAAAAUGAAAACUUGCUGACCUCUGCGUCCUCUUUUUUUUAACAAUAUAUGCAGCUUUGAGUUUGGCACCACUUGUGGUUAAUGUAAACCCAAAUGUGAAUGUGAUAUUGACAGCAUGUCUUACUGUCUAUGUCGGUUGUUACCGUUCUGUCAAGCCAACUCCACCCGCUGUAAGAAAUAUGUUUUUCUUUGCUAAGUAUAUGUAUCUUCUGGGUAUUGCCUUGACAUGAAAAUCAUGAGACUAAUUGAUUUCUUUGCUAAGUAUAUGUAUCUUCUGGGUAUUGCCUUGACUCAACCAAACCAGCUGCAAGAGUCCAAAGCAAACACGGUUCAAACCGGUCAGUGGUUAUGGACCUCCUUCCUAAGUAGCCUUUUGAAAGGCUGAGUUCGACUCCACCUGGGCUCCUCUUUUUUGAGGAUUUGUACUCACUUUUUUUUCCUUUUUUUUCCUUUCGGCGGGUGAGUAUUUUUGCUCACUUUUUUCCGGGGCGGUUCACAGGUGGGGUCACGGUUUUCCUCUGGUUCAGGGUAGUACAGCUCCUCUUUUUUGAGGAUUUGUACUCACUUUUUUUUUCCUUUUUUUUCCUUUCGGCGGGUGAGGAUUUUUGCUCACUUUUUUCCGGGGCGGUUCACAGGUGGGGUCACGGUUUUCCUCUGGUUUAGGGGUAGUACAGCCUCGGGAUGCGGUUUUCUUUCGGUUCAGGGUUACAGAGGCUAGUUUUUCUCCGGUUUUGCACUCCAUGGUCCGAUUCAUGUGGUGGGAGUCGAUUUUUCUUCUUCUUUUUACCAGUUCUAUGUGACGGACGAAAAUUAGUGGCAAAAACCUUGCUUGCUUUAAUAUUAGGUAGAGAUAUACAAAAGAGGUGGAAUAUCAAUAUAGUAGAAAAGAAGCCCAUCUAGUCCUGCCAUGUUAAUGAAAAGAAAAAUAAAAAUCAGUUCGGCGGUCAAUACUAACAAAAAAAAA
rnacentral:lncRNA from 1 species